rnacentral:lncRNA from 1 species
ACAUCAUAACCUAUUCAUACAUGUUUCCGUCUUUUAAGAUACACCAUUUGAGGUUCCAACAACCACUUACCCCUAUUAUUAAAGACCAAAUCAACCUUCUGAAUCAUUCUUCAAAGAAAACAAAUGCAAGCCAUAAAAAACAAGAAAAAGGACCUAUCGGUAUAAAAAACAGAAUAUUUAAAGAGGACCACUACCAAUAAAAGGACAAGGACGUUAGAGGGCCCCUACCAAUAAAGGGACAAAGAUCAAAUACGGCCAAAUAAAAGUAAAAAAAAGCAAAAAUAGUGAAUAAACAACUAAAAUCAACAAACAAGUAGACCCCAUAUGAAUAAAGAAAUCAAGCAUCAACAAUAACUGAACCCCUAGGUCCAGAGUCCAGACCAACAUAAAAAGGGAAGGGACCAUAUGCAACCAAAAAAUUAGUGAACAAAGAAAAAAGCUUUGAAUAAACAACUUAAAUCGACAAAAAUAAGACAACCCCAUGCUAAUAAAUUAAACAGAUGUUACCAAAAUCUAAGCUGGACCGCAUGCAUCAAAAAACAAUACUACUAACAUUGAAGCCAAAACUGACACCUUACAGAAUAUCAGAAGAAUCAUGAUUUGUGUUUAUUUCAAGAAACCCUAAGCAAAGAUCAACAAUAAAGUCGUACUUGAAUGGAGAGAAUGUUUGUUCAAAAGUUAUCAUGUACUUUAUGAGUGUGAAAUUAUACACAUUAAUCGAGGUAAAAUCAUAACAAACUAUAAUAAUCCAAUGAACCAAAUGAAAAAAAGUGAAAAAAAGUACUUAGAAUUAGGGGAAGAAAUAUUAGAAGCUUUUAUUGAUGAUAUUGAGUUGGUAUACCUCUCCGUGGAGAGGUUCAGAGCCUUACAAUGGUGUUUUCCUUUCCCACAAUAUGGGUUUCAUUCUCUCUUUUCUCUCUCUUGUGAAUAGUGGCAAAGAAGAAGACCCCUUUUUAGGGUUCCCUUUCUUAGUAUUUAUAGCUGUGAGCUGCUGUCAAUAAGUGGUUGUGACCACGUUGUGGAUUUUCCCUCAUGAUAGUGAAUGGGUCAUCGCCUUAUUGGUCGAAUCUAAUAAGGGUUAAGUACCAUUGGCUUUAAAUGGUCAUACGACUUAUUAAUCAUGAAUUAAACCAAGAACAGGAUUACCCUCAUUAAUUGUCGUAGGGUCAUACUGACCCAUACAGUUAGUCCGUUCGCUUAUUAAGGUCGUGCCCUGGCCGAACUCGAUGAGUGGACUUUGUUGACGGUAGUUCAUGAAAUUCGGGGAGGGGGGUCAAAUGUUGCUUCGGUCGAGGAAGAAUUAUCUUUGGAGAUGAUUCUUAACCUUAAUAUUGUCUACGGCCUUAGCCGUUUACAUACUGAAGAUGGCUUUAGACUUAAUACUGUCGACGACCUUAGCCUUAAUACUGUCGACGGCCUCAGCCGUUUACAUAAUGGAGAUGGCUUUAGCCUUAAUACUGUCGGCAACCUUGUAGAGUGUGAGUGUUUUGCUAUGUGUUGGGUCGUCGUUCGAUCGAGGUUGAACUCUCCUCUUUAGCGAAGACGUUUAGCCUCUAUACUAAUUCUAGUGAAGUCGUGCAUUGUGCUUUGAAGCUUACGUCUUCUUGGAGACUGGUAGUAUGUUGUAUGACCGAGGAGGGUGAAAAUGCGCUUGGCACACUUUUGGCGACGUCCGAAAUUUCCAUGGCAUAUGGAACAUUCCCUCAGCGUACAUAGGUCUUUAUGACCUUUUAACGGCGAGGCGCCGGUUGAUAACUGAAAAGUCACUUCAUGGAGCCUGUCAUAAUGACGCACGUUUCUGUAAAAAAUGAACCAUUUUGUUGUUGGUCAUGUAGUUAAUGAUAGCCAUUGGGGUUUGUGAAAGCCACUUGUGUGCUUCUAAAUAAGGGGUUGAGACAUUUAUUUCUGACAUUCACAUUGUUGGUCUGAGAGAGAUUUUGAAAAAACCCUUCUUCUUGUUGUUUCAUCUUUCUCUUUGUUCUUCGAUUUUUAUAACUUCCAUUUUCCCACACAAUAUUACCUUGUUCUUAUUAGUGAAUCAGUGAUGACAGGCACUUUUCCUCUAAAUGUUCUCCCGACAAAAUUCCUGGUUAGUUUUCCGGUGGUUGAGGGGCCAUCUCUAGCAAUGAGAAGCGCAGGUCCGACGGAGAUAGACGAAACUCCGUCAAUUGAUGAGAUAUUAUCUUUGCCCAGAGGCCUGAUGAUUGACUUCACCGAUGAUGGUAGAGAGGACCGGGUGGAUGAAGCCUCAUUAAUGGGGGAAGUUGGGAUGGUCCAACUACGGGAACAAUGGGAAAUCCCUAGCUAUGCGAACGUCAUUCUCACUCGAAGCGAGGAGAGGGUACACACUGACUGCAGGGGGUACUACGUCUUCUAUGCCUAUCCCUUUAAGUUGGGAUUCAAGCUUCUGCUCCCCAUGAUGGUAGUUGAAUUUUUCCAUUAUUACGGGUUUUGCCCGGUUCAGCUUACCCCUUAUCCUUAAAAGUUACUGGAGAUGUUCAUCAAGUAUGCGGAACUGGCCAGUAGGGAGGUUACGUUGCAGCACAUGCUCAGUCUUUACGCUCCCCAGAGGGUACACGGUACCAUGAUUCGAGCACGUCCUCGUGGGUCGAGGGGCCUUACCGUAGAGCUGGACAAUGAGGUCGGGCUUGCCCCUUUGAGAAUUUCUUGUAUAUCAGGACUAAUCACUUAGUGGCGUCGCUAUCUAGGUUCCCAGAGACUUGGAACCAUGCACGUAAUUUUUUGAAUCGUUGAAUCCUCUUUUCUGCCCCUCUUUACGUCUUGCACCCGUAAGAUUUAAUUUGUGUGAAACUUUGUAGCUGAAAGGUCGCUGCCAGCUCCCAUAGCUAGGAUACGUGAGUGGGUAGAAGCCGUGCUCCCCCAUACAUAGGGAUACGCACGUGGGCGUCUUUUUGAGAGAGGCACGACCAUAGGCCUGUGACAGGUAUAAAGUUGAGUUCUUCUUCUAUCCCUCUUUGUUUCAAUUUGGUUUCUCAGCUUUGUUUUUUUUUAUCAGAGAGGGUACGCCGCGUCAGGGCUCCUCAGUUGGCCUUCCGUCGGCGGGGUGCAAUUUCUUGACUUAUUGCAGCAACGGUACCGUGCACAGUACCGAGGGCGGCAUCAGUUGAGUCUUCAGCACGGGCUGCACUUCAGGAUGAGGGGCCGUCAAGGGUUGUGAGCCAUAGAGCAGAAUCUCCCUCGACUGAGGAGGAGUAAGAGAGGCCAUUGGUGAGAUUGAGGGUCAUGUUCAUGUCGGCUCCCCCUAUGAUGAUUAAGAUGGACUACCCCAGUGGAUACGGAGAGGAGUGCGACUACGUUACCUUUCCCUGAGGGCGAACAAACAGUGGGGGUUGCCCCAGUUGACUUAGGCCGUGAUGAUACCGUCGCUUUGAUGACUCAAAACCCUACAGGGACAAGAAUCAGAUCGGUUCCAGUCACUGAGGUGGGAGGCAGUUCCUCAACGGCUGCUAUUGUUGGUGAAUCAAGUGUCCCUUUUGGCGGCAGAAGGUGGGAGGGACGUUGUAGAUGAGUAUGGGUUCGAAUUCAAAUUGGACCCUGUUAAUGUACGUACGUUCCGAGAGGGCUUCACCAAUUUAUUGGUGCAUGCAGAGGGGCGAUCUCCCUUCAUUGAGGUUCCCACGGAGUUGAACGUAUAGCUCCAAAGGAAUAGCUUGGUUGGUACCGUUAUAUGAGGUGGUAUGCUCUGAGGCUGAGAAUGCAUCGUUGAGGGACGUCAUAGAGCCUGAUGAAUGAGGUGGUCGUGAUGGGCCUGAGGGUAUGUAUUAUAACCUUGAUCUAUAUUCUCUUGCCCUAGUUUAUUCUUUAUCUAACUUGUUGUUUUUGAUGUACAAUCUUAUUUGUUGGAGGUGGAGAGCAUGCGCCGAGCCAACGUCCUCUCGAGGAUAUUUUUGCGGGUGUUGGCUAAGUACCUCCGCUAGAGAGAUCGGUGCCGAGAGUUGCAUGAGAUCUCGAGAUCUGAUCCUCGCAACCGAGCCUUGGUCAAGGAGCUAGUGAGGCGAGAGCUUCAGUUGCAGCAAUUACUUGGUAAGACGCGCGCUCUUGAGGAGCAACUUCGUUAGAAGGAUAAGGAACUCGAGGCGGGAGCUUCAGUUGCAGCAAUUACUUGGUAAGACGCUCGCUCUUGAGGAGCAACUUCAUCAGAAGGAUAAGGAACUUGAGGCGGGAAGGAUGGUUGCGACUGAGAGCGAGUGUCGUGGCUAGGAUAAGGAGGUGGAGUUGUUGCAGCCUGGAGCAAGAAAGUGGAUACUUUGGAGAGUGAGGUUGCGGCUCUAAGACUUUGGGUGAGUGCUUCCUCGUCGAAAGUCACAGGGUUGGAGGAGUAAAUCCGCGUGUGUGAAUCUCAACGUGAGUCAGAAAGGGCUACGACGACCAAGAGGGAAGCAGGGCUCGAGGAGCGGAUCGACCUUCUUGAGUAGGAGGCCCAGAUUAUGGAGGAUCAUGAUCACGCCUUAGAAAGAGAGAAUCAAUAGCUGUGGGACCAAGUCAUCGCUUCCAGCCAGGCUUUUGAGCUUUUGGUCUUUACCGAGGCCUAAUGUGAUAUGUAUAAGAAUUUAUGGGAGGCCGACAUCAUGACCGAAGCUGCUUUCGAGAAAGCAUGCCACAAGGCUCGUGAGGCCCAUACCGACUGUGGUUUUGUAGCGGCGACGCCAGAUAUUGAUGGUAUAGGUGGUGGCGCGGAUAGAAGUGUUGGAUUUUAGGUGCUACUUGUUUUUCUUUUUCUUUGUAUUGACUGGCCCUGGCAGAGUGUAAGCAGGGAUGACCCGCAAUUAAAUGAUAUUCCUUUUUCAUUAUUUGCUUUGUACCUAUAUUGUACCUUUACUUCUUUCCCCUCAGACUUUUCUUUGUACGCGUUCGAAGGGGUGAUUUGUCUUUGAGUUUGACUCUGGUAGGCAUAUUUAUUUUUUAUUGUUGAUGACUUUUUUCUUUGACUCUGUGUGAGCGGGUCGGAGCCGUUACUUGGCGAUAGUGGCACAGAGCCUUAGUCCCAGUUCGGGCAUGGUCGAACUACUGGUCGUGAUGAUAAAAAGUAUGGCCUUGUAGUUUGAGCGGGGCCGAACUUUACGUGGCUCGAAUCUUUGUUCGAGGUGGGAGUACUUACUUGACUGAUGAGGGAUCCUAGUCUGCGCCUAGAUUCGUCGGAGUUUGGGUCUUGCUAGAUUCUAUGAUGAAGGCGCCUGGCCUGGGUCUAUGUUCAACUAUGGUCGAGCUUGUGAGAUUUUAGGACAGAGGCGUAUAUCAUUGCAGUUCGGGUGGGGUAGAACCCGUUAGAUUCAAUGGCGAAGGCGCAUCGCCUAAAUUUUUGUUCAGCUGUUGAACUUUGUUAAAUUUGAUGGCGAAGGCACAUAGCCUGAGUCCUAGUUCAAUCGUAGUUGAGCUUUGCUGAUUCUGGCAGUGAACGAGAACAACCUGAGUUCCGAUUCAACUGUAGUUGAACUUUGUAAAUUUGAUGGCGAAUGCACAUAGUCCGAGUCUCGGUUCAACCGUAGUUGAACUUUGACAAAUUUGGUGAUGAAGGCGCGUAGCCUGAAUCUUGGUUCAACCCGUAGUUGAACUUACUAGCGAAGGCGCGUAGCCUUGAUUUAAUAGCGAAGACGCAUAGCAUGAGUCCCGGUUCAACCGUAGUUGAACUUUGUUAAAUUUGAUGACUAAGGCGUGUAGCCUAAGUCUUAGUUCAACCGUAGUUGAACUUAGUGGCGAAGGUGCGUAACCUUGAUUUAAUAGCGAAGGCGCAUAGCAUGAGUCCCGGUUCAACCGUAGUUGAACUUUGAUAAAGUUGAUGACAAAGGCAUGUAGCCUGAGUCCCAUUUCAACUGUCAUUGAACUUCGUCGAUUUUGAUUGCGAAGGCGCAUAGCGUGAGUCUUGGUUCAACCGUAGUUGAACUAACUGGAGAAGGCGCAUAGCCUUGAUUUUACGGUAAAGGUGCAUAGCUUGAGUCCCCGUUCAACCAUAGUUGAACUUUGAUACGCGUAGCCUGAAUAUUGGCUCAACCGUAGUUGAACUUACUGGCGAAGGCGCCCUUGAUUUAAUGGAGAAGGCGCAUAGCAGGAGUCCCGGUUCAACCGUAGCUGAACUUUGAUAAAUUUGAUGAUGAAAGCGCGUAGCCUGAGUCUUGGUUCAACCGUAGUUGAACUUACUGGCGAAGGUGCGUAGCCUUGAUUUAAUGGCGAAGGCGCAUAACAUGAGUCCCAGUUCAACCGUAGUUGAACUUAGAUAAAUUUGAUGAUGAAGGCACGUAGCCCGAGGCCCAUUUCAACUGUCGUUGAACUUCAUCGAUUUUGAUGGCGAAGGCGCAUAGCCUGAGUCCCAGUUCAAUUGUCGUUGAACUUCGUCGAUUUUGAUGGCGAAGGUGCAUAGCCUGAGUCUUGGUUCAAAUGUAGUUGAACUUAGUGGAAAAGGUGCAUAGCCUUGAUUUGAUGGUGAAGGCGCAUAGCCUCAGUCCCGGUUCAAUCGUAGUUAAAAUUUGAUAAAUUUGAUGACGAAGGCGCGUAGCCUGAUUCUUGGUUCACCGUAGUUGAACUUACUGGCAAUGGCGCAUAUCCUUGAUUUAAUGGCGAAGGCACAUACCCCGAGUCCCGAUUCAACCGUAGUUGAACUUUGAUAAAUUUGAUGACGAAGGCGCGUAGCGUGAGUCUUAGUUCAACCGUAGUUGAAGUUACUGCGAAGGUGCGUAGCCUUGAUUAAAUGGUGAAGAUGCAUAGCCUGAAUAUCGCUAUGUCAAUGUUUGAGAGUUGAAGCUUGGUUUUGAUUCGAGAUCCUGAGCAGCUUACGCGCUAUCUUCUCAAUAGGGAUAUGUAGGCUGGCUUGAGGCAACUCUCGGUUCGAGAUAUCUUCGUGCUGGUUUCCGACUGUGGCCCGUAUCAGGGAUGCGGGAGAUGCCUUACAGAGAUCCUCCCUUAGGGCCAUCAGGGGGGGGGGUUUCUUCUUCUUGCUUGUACUAUCCAGAGAGGAGAGACAAAAUAGUUGGAUCUCGAUUCGAGAUCUUUGAAUUCCCUCUGUCCGAUAUACUGCUUUGGCUUGUUUGAGCUGGGUUGCUCUUUGUUGCUUCUUUCCUUUUGGUUCAGGGGAGAACUACGCAAUUUUAUUAUGAAAUCCCCACAGACGAUGCCAAAUUGUCUGCUCAUUAUGAGUGUGAAACAAUACACAUUAAUCGACGAAAAAUCAUAGCAAACUGUAAUAAUCCAAUGAACUAAAUGAAAAGAAAGUGAAAACAAGUACUCAGAAUUAGAUGAAGAAAUAUUAGAAGCUUUUAUUGAUAAUAUUGAGUUGGUCUGCCUCUUCAUGGAGAGGUUCAGAGCCUUACAAUGGUGUUUUCCUUUCCCACAAUAUGGGUUCCUUUCUAUAUGUUCUCUCUCUCGUGAAUAGUGGCGAAGAAGAAGACCCCUUUUUAGAGUUCUCUUUCUUAGUAUUUAUAGUUGUGAGCUUCAUGGGCAGUCAAUAAGUGGUCGUGACCACGUUGUGGAUUCACCCUCACGAUGGUGAGUGGGUCGUCGCCUUAUUGGUCGAAUUAGAUAAGGGUUAAGUACCAUUGGCUUUAAAUGGUCAUACGACUUAUUAAUCAUGAAUUAACCCAAAAACGGGAUUAGCCUCGUUAAUUGUCGUGGGGUCAGAUUCUGACCCAUACAGAGAAGACUUUAACUUUAAUAAACAACUUCAUUCCGUCAACUUCAGUAAAAAGUUAUCGCGGAAAAUCUCAAGAAGUCAAGCUCCAAAAUCGCCGACCAUUUCGCCCUUUUUACUUAGAGAAGAUGAAGUGGGUGAAAUGACACAUUUGAAUUAUGUGUGGGUAAAAACCAAUUAGAUACGGCCACGUGGAAUUAAUAAUAUGUUUAUAUAUAAUACAACUUAUCCGUUAGAAUUAAGGGCACAAGUACAUCAGAUUUUUAACUGUAGGGUUAUUAUUUGCAAAAUAGGUUAACGAAAGGUAUUUUUAUAUUGGAAUUGAUUCGUUAUGGGCAGAUCUAACCCUUUUCCGUUAUUGUUGUUGUCAACUGACACUCUAAGUCAAUAAUAGAAAAUGAAACUUUCACGGGGCAUCGGAACUUAACACAAAGCAACCAAAAAAAGAGAAGAGAAGGAGACCAUUGCCAUUAUAGUGCAGAUGAUAUAUUAAUAUGAUCUACAAUAAGUGAAGAUGGGACACAGUUAUUUGCAAGACUACUAGCUCACUCGAAGACAUUAGGCCACUAAACGAUUUUUUAUUAUUUAAAUUUCAUAUCGUAAUUCUCACUUUUAUUAUACCUUUUUCACAAUCAAAUAAUUCCAAAUACCGUUAUCUAUUCUUGUAGGUAUUGCAAACCCAAAGGUGCAACUAUUCUGAAUUUCUAGCCAUAUAUAAUUAAUUAACCAACCAUCCUAUAUCAUAUGUGUACCAAAUACCAUUUGUUAUGUAACAUAGAAAAAUAUUGUUCGAUUUUAUUUACACAAAUUCAAUAACCUAAAAAGUUAGGUCUCGCACAUGAUAAACUUUUUUACAAAAAUUAUAGGUACGUGGUAUGUGUUCUUACGUUUAUUAUUUGACUAAUGCUAAAAUGUCUGUAUGGUUCAAACACUAUGUAUAUGUUCUUUUUUGUUUUUUGUUGAUGCACUUAUUUGUUGCAGGAAAACCAAAAAGUGCAACUAUUGUGAAGUUGUUAACAUAAUUAUGUAUCAACCACCCCAAUAUAUGUAUACACCAAAUACCAUUUGUUCUGGAUUAUUUUCUAUAAUUAAUAAUAUUUCGAGGAAAGUAGUAUUAUUGUUACCUUUCCAUUAGUUGAAAGAGAAGGAGUGAUGAUUAUGUCAAAUGAGUAGAGAGAUUGGGGAAAAGCGCAUGCCCGUAUUAGCAGCAACAUUACUAUCAUUAUAGUCUUUCUUUACUCAUCACACUCUUCCAAAUUUAUAAAAUAUUUUUCUAUUUUCCCCCUUUCUCUGAUUUAAUGGGAUUUCCUUUCCAAGUAUAUAAGUCAUUUUUCUUUUCGAACAAUGUAGUAACGUUCAUACAAAUUGGUUACGUGAAGGUAAGAUAAAGAGUAAUUGGUUGUUAUAUGAAAUAAAUAAUUGAAAAAACUAAUGUUGAUAUCAAAUUAUCAUGAAUUGUCUUACACGACCUUUGUCAACAUCUUGAAAGGGAAGGAACACAUACGAGGACUGUAGAUUUUUUUAAUCGAAAGAGCUGUAUAUGAACUGUGUUUUGCUCAAAAGAUAUACACAUUUUAUGAGCUUAAAAACAAUAAAAAAAGAUGGAAGGAUAAAUCGUAAUCAGGGAUAAUAAGUCCUAGAAUAGAUUGUUUACGAAGAUCGUGAUAGAACGGAAAGUAUAAAUGAUAAUAGAAAAUUUUUAUAUCAGAAGGAGAUAAGUAAAGAGAUAAAGAGAUGUUUGCCAAAUAAUAAUAGAGAGAGAAAGUAGAGAGAUAGUAUAUCUAGAGUAAUAAGGAAUCUGCCUUAUUAAAAGGUGAAUUCUUCUUUAUACAUUAGGAGACCUUUCUCGAAAUACACGAAAAGAAGAAUACAAAAGUUGGUGGCUUCCUUGUACAGAAGAGGCCAGGCCUAAACGGUGUCGUUUCUUUGCUUAAUUGAUUAGGACGUCCUUGGUCGGGACGUCCCUACCUGGCUAACAAGACUUCGAGGGCGCCUUCGCUAUGAGGGACGGGUUUGUUUAUACGGCGACGAAGUGAAUCAAAUUUUUUCCCAUACAGUUGGUCCCUCCGUCCGUUGGGGGCGUCCUCGAGGGGCGUCUUCAAUGACGGAUAUGUAUGCUUAUGUGACAGUAUAGAGCCAUUGACGCUUAGCUCCUUUUUAGGAUGACGUCAUUGAUUACGUGCAUCAUUAUUACUUUCACUCCCGAGGCAAUUCAGAUCCUGACGUGACUUAUGGGUUUACCGCACCGAAUUUUGAAUGAUGCUGCCUAGAUCUCCGUGUACCUCACUCCUAUAAACAACGGAUCGGUUCAAAACGAUUCAUCGUUCGAAUCUCUAAAGGAUAUUUCUCUCUUUCCCUCAUUCUAUUUUCUGGUAUCAGUGCUUUCCUUAAAAACUGUUGUUUCUACGGGUCGAACUUUACAUCUACUUAAAACACUCUUCUUUGUAAGCUUUAAUCAUGGUAAAACGAUCUCAAGACAUCAAGAAAUCCAGAAAUAAUGCCCCUUCUAGGGUUUCGCCUCCCUCCGACGGUGAGGCGAAGGUGGUCGAAGAGGUUCUCGUUCCUAUAUCAGUGGUGAAUGUUCUUCCGAAGAACAUGAGCAAAAGAAAUGACUUUAGUCAUAAAAGUUCACCUCCGCCUUGGGAACGUAGCAAAUUGACGUUCUCCCAUCUGAAUGCUCUUAGAAUGGCAUAUGGGUUUCCAAACUACGUUGACAUAGCACCUGUCGGAGAGGAUUAUGCCAACGUGCACAGGCCCGGGUUCUGUACGUUCUACGAGUAUGCAUUCUGGAUCGGCUAUAAUUUCCCGCUCAACACUCUAGUGGAGGAACUUUGCCAUUUCUUCAGGACAUGACCCGCUCAACUUACUCCUUAUACGCUGAAAGUGUGCAGAAUACUUACCACCCAUGCAGAGAAAGCCGGGUGCGCGGUCAAGAUAUACCACCUUCUGCAGAGGUAUAAUGCGAGUUACCUGACGCAUUGCGGGAAGAAAAGCUUCGUGGUGUAGUCUAAUGACAAGGCCAACCGUGGCUAUUGGAAGAAGUUUUUCUACGUUCGGAUUGAGCAUCUGGUUUCUAACCCCGAAGGGUUCCACGAGGUGUGGAACCAGGAGUGUAAGUAUUCCCUUGUGUCUUAUUCAACGCUUUUUGUUGUGACGGCUUAACCCUCAGGGUUCUUUUAUCUGCUAUUGCAGUGGCGGCUCGUAUGCCAAAGGAUUCCUCGUCUCUUUCCUGUGCGGACGACAUUAGGUCGUGGGUGGAGAGGAUGAUUCCGCAUGUGGAGGAGUGCCGUACAUGGGCUCAGUUUUGUAGCACGUACGACCCGACUUGUAACGAUAUUUUCCACAUACCUUUUCUUUGGCAGGCGGGGGGUCUCCAAGAGGGCCAAGAGAAGGAGAACUGAUGCUGGCACGUUCAGAGCGGAGCUGGACUCCGAGUAGGAGUAUGUGCAUGUGGAGGGAUUGCCUGAAGGUAGUGCGCUCUCGUCUCCUCAGCAGGAGGUUGUGUGGGAGCCUGCACCUCAUGCGGCGGCUGAGAUGAUGAUAGAGGAGGAGGUUCUGGUGGUUCCCGAAGUCGUGCCUGAGAGGGGGGGCCGAAGUUGCAUCCGGCUGGGAAGCACUCCCUUUGGAGUCGUCUUCACAGCCAAUGGAGGCAGCUCCCAAAGACGAGGAGUCUCUCGCAAGUAGGAGCCGACGGUUGAUCACCAGCAAAGGUCGUACAUGGGCUCAAUUCUGUUGCGUGUAUGGCCCGAUUGGUAAUGGUCUUUUCCUUAUUCCUUUCUCUUUCCUUGUCCUGAUUCAGGAGUCCUCUAGUUUGACCUACCUUUUCCUUGACAGGACGGGGUGUUUCCAAGAGGGACAAGAGGCGGAGAAGUGAUGCCAACCCAUCUAGGGUGAGACGGGCUCUGAGGAGGAGGACGUGCCUGUGGAGGGUUCGCCUGAAAGUAGCGCGUUCUCGGCUCCUCAGCAAGAAAUUGCACCAAGGGUGGCAUCUGAUGCGGCGACCAUAACGAUGGAAGAGGAGGUUCUGGUGGUUCCUAAGGUCGUGCCCGCGAGGGGGGCCGAAGUUGCGCCCGACAAUAAAGCGCUUCCUUUAGAUCGCCUUCGCAGCCGUUGGAGGCGUCUCCCAAAGAUGAGGAGUCCCUCGCAAGUAGGAGAAAUCGGCAGAUCACCGGCAAAGGAGUGGUGUCGAAUGGGAGAGCGUGCAAUUGCCUCAUCGCGAGUCGGGGCGGUUGUUUAUGGCCGAUGCAAUUCGCUCAAGGAGGGCGCUCCUCGAGGGAGGGCUGAUGUUGAGGCCGAUCUGCCUCCUGCUAGGGAAGAUGGCUCGUCUGCCGCAGCAGCGGGGACAAGUGCGCCUUUGGAGAGGAUGGAUGGAGGAAGGGGCUCUCCAGCUCGUGUUGAGAUGACGGCCGGUAGGUCUACACGCCGCAUUGUGAUCCCCAGCGGCUAUAACCUCUUGGAGAACUGUGAAGAGGUGACCGUAGACAUGACCCUUCUCUGUGCGGGUGCUGAGGGUUAGGCAUUGGCGGAGGUCUGUGACAGGGGCCUGUGUCGAAGGGUUGGCCUUGCAGGUAAUUUUGGCCCUUCUUCACAUUGGUGUCGUAGGGGUGGUCCGCUUGUGUACUAAUUCCUCCUUUGAUACUUCUAAGGUUCUUGUUUUGGAAGUGGAGAGGGUGCGAAGACUGGCGAAGAGGGCGGAUGCCCAAAAAAAAUUGUGGAAGAGGUACAAGUGGGUCCGUGACGCGCAUCAAACGUUGACCGACGUGUACAAGCAAGACCCUGAGUUUAGGCUGUUUCGCAAGGGCCUUACCCAGAUGGAGGAGCAAUUGAAGAAGUGGUUGGCUGAGUUGGAGAGGGUGGGCAAGCAACUCGUGGCUGCGGUCGCCAGGAACACGAAAUUUUAGGCUCUCCUUCGAGCGAAGGACGAUGAGUUGGAACUCGAUCAUGUUGUAGCGGCGGAGGAGGCUAAAAUUCGAGCUUGGGUUGCGGCCUUGACCGCUGAUCUCAAAGCUAAGGAGGAUGAGAUUGAGGCCCUUGUGCGGGCCGCUCCACAAGAAGCUGAGCGUCAGGAUGCUCAUGACAAGUGGGUUUAUCAUGAUUCCCGACUAGUCGUGUUUGAAGAGCUCUUUGCAGCCAGUUGAAUAUUUGAGGGAGACGUGGAUAGGCAGCAAAGUCUGACCCGGGUUGCUCAUGAGGCGCCCAGUUGCCUCUCUGAUUCGCCCGCUAGGGAAGGGUAUAACUCAGAAGACACUAACCGUCUGGCGUUUGCUUCUUGGAUUUCUAGGGACUACCUGCCAGGAGGUGGCGACGGCCCGAGUGCGGAUUGUGCCGGCCAGGGUGACGGGGGUUCCUAGGGUUUGCUUUUGUACCCUUUUUUGUUGUAAUGGGGCCUUUUUCUGAGGCUGGUCAUGUAUGUACUUUUUUGGAUAUAAUAGUACAUAACACGAUAAAUUUUUAUCGUGUUUGCAACUCGUAGCUUGAGCUUAACUCGACCUUUAUCAGGUCUUCCGUUUUGCCGUAGUCAAUAUUGGUUCGACUGUUAAUGGUGAUGGCCUUAGCCAUGUUGGACUGAAUGGCCUUAGCCAUGUAGUUGACUUCGACUGUCCUCGAGUCUCUCUUGUUCUGCCGUAGUCGACAUUGGGUCGACUGUUAACGGCGUUGGCCUUAGCCAUAUAGAAUUGAAUGGCCUUAGCCAUGUAGUUGACUUUGACGUUGUCGAGUCUUUCAUUCUCCCGUAGUCGACAUUGGGUCGACUGUUAGCGGUGAUAGCCUUAGCCAUUUUAAAUCGAUGGCCUUAGCCAUGUAGAAUUGAAUGGCCUUAGCCAUGUAGUUGACUUUGACUUCGUCGAGUCUUUCGUUCUGCCGUAGUCGACAUUGGGUCGAUUAUUAGCGACGAUGGCCUUAGCCAUUUAAAUCGAUGGACUUAGCCAUGUAGAAUUGAAUGGCCUCAGCCAUGUAGUUGACUUCGACUGUUGUCGAGUUUUUCGUUCUGCCGUAGUCGGCAUUGGGUCGACUGUUAGCGGCGAUGGCCUUUUACACAUUGGAGAUGAAGAUGGCCGUGGCCUUUUACACAUUGGAGAUGAAGAUGGUCGUAGCCUUUUACACAUUGGAGAUAAAGAUGGAUGUAGCCUUUUACACAUUAGAGAUGAAGAUGGCCAUAGACUUACACAUUGGAGAUGGUCGUGGCCGUUUUACACAUUGGAGAUGGUGUUGGUCCAGUCCCUGUAUCAGGUCAGGCUUUAAAGAGUAUGGAGAGGCUGACGUGAUACACUUGUCCCAGAAAUAUCUCCAGGUGUUCCCUUUGUUCUCAUUAAAAACCUCCCCGAGAAAACCCAAUUGGAACAAAACUCGUUUGAGGGAAAAAGAGUGCGACUCAGGGGACGCUUUUCAGAAAUAGAAAUAUUUGAGGUGGGCAAUGUUCCAGUUGUUCUCGAGUGUUUUUCCUUCCAUUGUUUAGAGCUGAAAUGCCCCUUUGUUUGCUAUUGAUGUGAUUUUGUAGGGUCCGUCCCAGUUUGCGCCCACUUUUCCUUCGCUUGGGUCUUUGGAGGCCAAUGUCUUGGCUUUGAGGACGUAAUCUCCUACUUUGAGCGGCCUCACUUUUGCAAUUUUGUUAUAGUACCUUUCGACUUGCUGCUUUUGGGCCAUCAUUCUUAUGUGGGCCAUUUCCCUUCUUUCUUCGGCUUCAUCAAGGUCUUGGAGCUUAUGUGCGUCGUUUUUCGUUUUGCUGGUGUGUGAGUACCUCAGGCUUGGUUCGCCUACUUCGACGGGUAUGACCGUGUCAGUUUCGUAAACCAGUGAGUAUGGAGUUUCUUCUGUGCUGGACUUGGGCGUGGUCCUGUGUGCCCAUAAAACUUCGGGUAAAAGUUCAGGCCACUGCCCUUUUGUGUCCUCAAGCUUUUUCUUCAGCAUGUUCAGUAUGGUUUUGUUGGAGGAUUCUGCUUGACCGUUGGCGGCGGGGUGGUAUGGCGUGUGUCAAUGGCCCCCUUUUCCCUAAAAGCGAAAUCGGGAUUACGACAUAAUGGGCAAAAUAACUCUUAUCCCCUUUUGGGAAUUGGGCAAUGGAGUUUGAAGAGUCGCCAGCUAAUGAUUAUAGUGCAUUAGGACACUUUAAGAAGAAAAGAAGAUUUUUGAAAGAAAACCAGANNNNNNNNNNNNNNNNNNNNNNNNNNNNNNNNNNNNNNNNNNNNNNNNNNNNNNNNNNNNNNNNNNNNNNNNNNNNNNNNNNNNNNNNNNNNNNNNNNNNNNNNNNNNNNNNNNNNNNNUGAAAUUAUCUCGAGGGGAAGGUGUUAGGCACCCCUCAAGAUCGACUAGUGUGGUUCCCGGCCUUGCUUAGAUGUGACUUUAAGAAGCAUAUAAAUAGACAAGCAAAGUUUGCACAUAAAGAAUACGAGCAAGUUGACAAUUUUGAAAGGAGGAUAUCACAAGUAAAAAGGAAUUUUAGAGAAAACAUUUAAACAAAGAAAAAGUAAGGGGUCCUAGGUUUAACUAUAAUAUGGAUCAUUCAAUGCAAUAUUCCGCACAUACUCCCAAAGAGGGGUCGCUUCAUGAUAUUAGCCCAUCGUCAUCAUCUCCAUAUUCUACUCUUCCCACCCUGUUAAGGUAUCUAAACGCAGUUAGUCUCGUUUACUUAUUGCAUGCUAAUACCCGUCCCGACCUAUUAGUCCCGGGGUAUUUGGACUUCUUAUCUUAAAAGGGGAGAAAGGGGAUGAGGGCAUAUAUGGAGUUAAAAGGUAAAAAUACUAAGGCGUCAAUCAAAAUAAAUAGCACAUAAGGGGAGUAAACAAACAUACAAAGGCUACACAUAAACCCCUUAAACCAUAAAACAAUUAGUUGAGCAUGACUUGCAAAUACUAAUUUGGUCAUAAGCUUAAAACUGAUAAUUGAUAGAUUAGUUUUACAGAUAAAGUUGGAUAUAAGUCUACUUUGAGCCCCUCUGGUCCGGUUUGUUAGAACUUAAGGUAUUUUAAAAUCUGUAAUUUCAUAAGUUUUGGAAACAGGAUUUUGCCUAGUGUUUUUAUGCAGUUCCUAGAAACAUGAUUCUAUUAUGCUUGCAAUAAAAAUCCUACAGCCAUGAUUUCUAAAUGGGAUGCAACAUUGAAAUUCUAUAGGCAUGGUUUCUAGAUGAUUAACAAUAUUGAAAUCCUAUAGGCAUGGUAUAUAAGUGAUUGAAAUCCUAUAGGCAUGAUUUUUAGAUGAUUGGAAACAAUAUAAACCCCUCCCACACCUUUUUCACUAUAUCCCCAAAUUCUUUUACAAAGCUGGUUACAAAAGUGGAAAGAAAAGACUAAGAAAGUAAAUACAUCAAAGCUAAAACGGUCCCGAGGAAGCCCAAAGCAACCUUAAUGUCCAACAUAUGUAAUAGAAGUUGGAAAUCUCAAGGUUCAAAAUGGACACGAGGAAGCUCAAAGCAACCUUAAUGUCGAACAUAUAUAUUUUACCAAAUCCGAGCUCCAGAUUCCAAGGCUUUCUCUUAGGGUGUUUCAAAGUUCCAAGGGUUUUCAGGAAGCCUAGGCAAUUAUUACACCCUAAAAGAAUUAUUAGAGUUGUGCAAGGUGUAGAAUUACUAGCCCUUAGGCAUCCAUGUUCAGAGGGAACGCUAGGGUUCCUAAGCAUGGCUUACCAUAGGGGGGUAGGACUUAAAGAACUAAGCGUAAGUGUAAAAGUGAGGGAUUAGAGGAAGACCAAAGCAAAGGGGUGGUCAUACCUAGCCAUGAAUGGGACUGGAACACCCUUGACCCUUUACAUGGCUUUAACAAAUAAGAGUGGACUUAAGAAAGUCAGACUUAGGCAUGUAUGGUGAUUAGGACACUGCCAGACCUGAGUCAAGCUCAACAUAAUAGGGGUUAAGGGGGUGGACUGAUUUGAGUAUAUGUUUAGAGCAACCUGGUUCUAAAGUGGGGGUGUCAAUGGAAUGCCACCCUAGUCUAAAACAAUACUCACAUACAAAGGGGAAUUGAAGGGAAGGGGGAUUACAUGAAAGCAUUUGUAGCAAACAGAAUUAAACUUACGGGACUUGGGGAAGAGAUGUACAGGAAGGUACUCAUACAAGCAUACAAUAUCAAAACAUAGGGAUAUGGGGUAGGGAUGUGCAUGCUGAACAUUAAUAUCAUAAUGUACAUAAACAGACACAUGAAAAAGGGUAAGUAAACAUGUAGUAUUGGAGAUGGUACUCAAAUCAUGGACCUACCUAUUGCAAACUAGAAUAGUAAAGCACGUAGGGAAGAUAGAAACUUAUAGUUUAGCCUUGGCUUUCUGCCGGCUAAACUCAAGCAGCAGAACAAAUGGCAGAAAAGAGCAGAAAUGAGAAGAGUGAUUGGGGUGUGAACUUGUGAUUGUUCGUGUUUUUGAAGUAAAAGGGAUGUGGGGUUUUAUAGUUUGAAAGUAAGUAGUAAAUAAGGCAAGAAAAUAACUUAGUAUCAAUCACAAUCAAUUAGGGAAAGGACUCCCUUUAAUUAAGGAACGAGACUUAAGGUAAAUAAGCAGAGUUCUAUUUUUGGGAAGAAAAUCAAGAAUGAGUUGUAAAAUAAAGGGUAAAUACAUAUAAGGUUUUUGAAAUACACACGGUUUAAGCAAAUAAGGUAAAUAAAAUCAUCAAUCACAUAGGGAAUCAAGGAAACUGGUAUUCGUAUACAGUCCAAGAAUAAGUCUAAGUUGGAAAAUCAAAUAUGUUCAUAAAAAUCAACCCCAAAAUUAGGGUUAUUAAAGGGGAAAAUAUGACUAUAAAGAGAUGCAAAAAUUCUGAAAUUAAUAGAACAAUCAUGUAAUCAGAGAGCGGAAGAACAAAGGCAUGAAACAUAUUAGAAGGUCUUGCAGAACUUAACAUGAAAUCAGAAGCAUGAAAGGGACUCAAACAGUUAGGGUUUUGGAAUCAGACAGGAAGCAGAAAAUCACACACCCAAACUCGAAAAUUCCAAAGUCUAAGGUUUCCUCAAAUUUAACAAAUGUAAAGAAGAAAGUAAAAAUACUCAGGUAGACAAAUUCGAAAAGAACGCAAAUACUCACAAAAAGCAAAGUACAGUAGAGAGUCACUAAAAAAUCCUAGGUAAAGGGAAAAUUACAUGGAAUCAUGAGUAAAACGUUCGCAAGUCACAGCAAAAAUAAAGAUAUCGCAGUAGAGCAGUUAAGAGAAAGGAAAAUCGGAGAAACCCUAGUUUUAGGAAGAUAAACAGUUUGAAAAUAGAAUCGGUAAAAAAUGUGGAAAACACUUUGAAACUUUAGAAAAUAAUGUAGAUAUGAGGUAGAUUGGGAAGAGAAACAAAGAAGAAAACCUUGGAGACUUAGGGUUUUAGAGAAAACCAUAGAGAACGAGAAAGCCUGGAACGAACUGAUUUCGAGUCGACAACGGACUCAUAACACCAAGAUUCGUCGGAGAGAGACCGGACAUGGACGUAGAACUCAAGUCGGAGGACCUCUAAGUCGGUGGUCUUCGAGAAAGGGCUUUGAUCUUUGAACAAAGGGGUCAUAGAAGGGGGUGAGGGGUGAGUACAGGUUGCAUGAAGCCUGGAAAGCCAUGUUUUUCGUUGAAACGAGGUCGGAAAGGGUCGGAGGGGGGAUAGGGUUUCAGGGGUUUUGAGAGUGUUUUGGGGAUGAGGGGAAUACAAGGGCGGCGGUCAUUGUAAAAUGAUUAGGGUUAGGGGUGUAUUUGGUUUAAUUAAUGGAAGGAGCUACAUGGACCGUUGAUCUAAAUGAUCAACGGUCCUAAUUAAAAAUGGGGUUCUGGGCGGGUUGAUUUAAUUGGGUCUGGGUCAGGUUAUUUAUAAAUUUUGGUAGUGUAACUGGGGUUGAAAUUAGGGCUAUAAUUUAAAUAAAGAUGGAUAUAAUUUAAAUAGCCAAUUUUUCCUUAUUUUGAAUUUUAUAAAAUAGUAAAUAAUAUUUAAAAAUCAAACUAAACCAAUUCUGAGUUAAUAAACAAUGCAUAAGUAUUAAUUUAAAAAAUGAUUUAUGAUUAAAAAUGCUAUUAAAUCGAGAAAUAGGCUAAAAUUAUAAUUUCAUGCAAUUUUAGUUUAGAAAUACCAAAUGAACUUGUAAAAUUAUGUAAAAAUCAUGUAAAUUAUAUUUUUGCAUGAAUGAGAGAAUAAAAUAAAUUAUUUACCAAAAUAACAAAUUGUGGGAAUAGUUAUUGGAUUUUAUAGUGCAAAAAUAGGGCGUAAAUUGAUUUAAAAAUUCUUUAGAAAUGUGGAAAAGUACCAAAACCUUUGUGGCUGCUUAUAUAUGUUAUUUUUGAGAAUAUUUUGAGCAUAAAAAUUUAUAGGGAAAAAUUGGGUAUCAAUAGCUAUCCCUCUUUACCCGAAGAGUAUGAAAGAGUUGUUGGGUAAAGAUAAGAUGGCCAAUUUUGACCGGAGAUGGUGAUUGUAAAAGGAUAUUGACCGCUCUAUGGUCUCUGAGCUGCCUACAUAUUCCUAGUUUUACAGGAAUCAGGCCAUGUGUAGUUCAGGACAUUUGGGAAUUUGGAAAAACGGACCUGAUGGUUAGGUCUGAGGAGUGCACGGAAUCGGACAAACUGCGGAGAACUGGAGUGGGAUCGCUUUUGUUGAGAUGGCCAUGAGUCUUUUGGAACACCUGUAAAUGCGAGAUGUGNNNNNNNNNNNNNNNNNNNNNNNNNNNNNNNNNNNNNNNNNNNNNNNNNNNNNNNNNNNNNNNNNNNNNNNNNNNNNNNNNNCGUGAUGCAAGAUCCCAUUGGACCACGAAUGUUUGUCCUUGGACGGUUAGGAUGACGUCCUCAGACUAUGAUGUCCUAGGCCAUGAAGAGCAUAAAAUUAAGGGUUCGCAGGGCAUGAAACAAUGUUCUUGUGAUAUGCAGACGGUGCCUUCGAACUAUGAAGCCUUUGAACGAGUUGGAAAUCUUUCAGUCCAUAAGAAUGUGGCAAUCUUUCAGCCAAAUGAAUGCAAAAUGUGGCGAUCUUUCAGCUAGCACAAGAAAAACAUAGGUGGAAAUAUUUCAGCCGAAUGAGAAUUUAAAAUGCAGGUGGCGAUGUUCAGCCAGAUAAAAUGACGAUAUUUCAGCCAUGCAGGGCAGAGACAGUGCUUAGUCUCGAAAGGCAUAUAAGAGCCUUAUGCAAUAUGGACGUAUAGCUUAACCUCGGAAGGCAGAGAAUAGCCUUAUGCAAAAAUGCAGAUGGAGACAGAUCUUAGUCUCGAAAGGCAGAUAAUAGCCAUAUGCAAUAAGGGGGUAGGGCUUAACCUCAGAAGGUAGAGAAUAGCCUUAUGCAAAAAUGCAGACGGAGAUAGAGCUUAGUCUCGAAAGGCAGGUAAUAUCCUUAUGCAAUAUGGAGGUAGAUCUUAACCUCGAAAGGCAGAGAGUAGCCUUAUGCAAAAGUGCAAAUGGAGACAAUUCUUAGUCUCGAAUAUCAGAUAAUAGCCUUAUGCAGGAUGGAGGUAGAGCUUAACCUUGGAAGGUAGAGAAUAGCCUUAUGCAAAAUGCAGAUGGAGACAUGGCUUUGUCUCGAAAGGCAUAUAAUAGCCUUAUGCAGGAUGGAGGUAGAGCUUAACCUCUGAAGGCAUAGAAUAGCCUUAUGCAAAAUGCACAUGGAGACAAGGCUUAGUCUCGAAAGGCAGAUAGUAGCCUCAUGCAAUGCAGGAAUGUAAAAGAGCGAAUAGUAGUGAGUUUUCUUAGUUGGUGGUUGGUUUGCGGCAAAAGGACUGUUGGGGAGUUUGGAUAGUUACCCUAUAAGGGUUUCGAUUCUGAAGAGCAAAUGUGCUUUGAUCUCUAACCUGAAUUCCUGGAUCCAAAGAAAAAUCGUGAGUAUCAUAGAUGGGAGGUUAGUUCGUAUCCUCCAGCUCUUGGCAUUGUGCAUCAUGGGGUAGCGUUGCUAAAUGAUGGUGGUGCACGUUAUGUUUAUGCAUGACUUAGUAGAUAUAAUGCGAGUACGUAUAUAUGAAAAAUGAUUUUAUUUUUGGUGAACCGACAGUUUCAACGCGGUCCAAGACACGGCGACCUCGCUUGUUCUGGAAUUUUGAGGGUCCUCCUCAAAAUUCUGCCCCUCUCAAAAUUCUGCCCCAGUUUGCUGGGUCGGCGCUGAUGAAGAUACUGCCAAGCUGACUUCAUAAUUUUGAGGGUCCUCCUCAAAAUUCUACCCCAGUUCCAAUAGCGGGGGGGGGGGGGGGGGGAAAAAANNNNNNNNNNNNNNNNNNNNNNNNNNNNNNNNNNNNNNNNNNNNNNNNNNNNNNNNNNNNNNNNNNNNNNNNNNNNNNNNNNNNNNNNNNNNNNNNNNNNNNNNNNNNNNNNNNNNNNNNNNNNNNNNNNNNNNNNNNNNNNNNNNNNNNNNNNGGGGGGGGGGGGGGGAUGGAAAAAAAUGUGAUUGAACCCAUAGGGUUGCCUACGUAUACCCUCUUAAACAGGAAUCAGGUCAGGCGUAGUUCAAAUUACAUUAUGAAGAAAAAGCAUAUGAUCAAAUGUAGUGUCUUUUCACUGCAUCUGAGUUGAUAGGCUUCGACCGGACUUCUCCGUCCUUUUUUUCGAGAAUAAGGGCUCCGCCAGUUAGAACCCGAUGAACCAUGUACGGACCCUGCCAAUUGGGAGAGAAUUUCCCUUUGGCUUCAUCCUGAUGCGGAAAUAUCUUCUUCAAUACCAGCUAUCCUGGCGUGAACUUCCUUGGCUUGACUCACUUGUUAAAGGCUCUAGACAUUCUGUUAUGAUAUAAUUGACCAUGACAUACGACAUUCAUUCUCUUCCCGUCGAUGAGGGCUAACUGCUUGUAGCGACUUUUGACCCAUUCCACAUCAUCUAACUCUGCUUCUUGUAUGACCCUCAAGGAGAGAAUUUCUACCUCGGUGGGGGUGACUGCCUCUGUACCAUAGACCAUCAUGUUGGGAGUGGCCCCAGUUGAUGUGCGGACCAUGGUACGAUAACCUAAUAGCGAAUGACAACUUCUCAUGCCAUUGCUUGUGCUUUUCGAUCAUUUUCCUUAGUAUCUUCUUGAUGUUCUUAUUGGCUACUUCUACAACUCCAUUCAUUUGAGUUCUGUAAGCUGUAGAGUUCUUGUGUCUGAUCUUGAACGUUUCACACAUUGCUUUAAUCAGGUCGCUAUUGAGGUUAGAGCCGUUGUCGGUGAUGAUUGAUUCUGGAACCCCGAACUAACAAACCAUACGAUCUCGGACAAAAUCUGCUAUGACUUUCUUGUAUGAUGCGACCUCAACCCAUUUGGUAAAGUAAUCAAUUGCCACUAGGAUGAACCUAUGCCCAUUUGUUGCGGCUAGUGCGAUUGGUCCAAUAACAUCCAUUCCCCAAGCGGCGAACGGCCAUGUUGAGCUUGUUGCAGUAAGCUCGUUUGGAGGCACCUUUAUCAUAUCUGCAUGUAUUUGACAACGGUGGCAUUUUCGGACGUACUGGAUGCAAUCUGUCUCCAUAGUCAUUUAAAAGUACCCUGCUCGGAGUAUCUUCUUUGCCUAAACAAAACCAUAUGUGCAGUCCACAAGUCCCCGAAGUGUGAAAGAAAUUGUUGGACAAUCUCCGAAGUGUUCGUUUCUGAGUGAUAUUGGCAAGCUCUGGGUACCCUCCUGUUGUCAAAUAUUCGCUGAUAUCAUGGAACCAAGGUCUCCCGUCGGUUUCUUCCUCGACGUGAGCACAAUAGGCUGGCUGGUCGUGAAUCUUGGCCUGGAUGGUAACAAUAAAGUUUGUAUCUGGAUGCUGUAUCAUAGAUGAUAAAGUGGCUAAGGCAUCAACAAACUUAUUCUGUGUUCUGGGAACAUGGUGGAAUUCCAUCUUUCUGAAUCUUUUCCUUAACUCAUGUACAUGGUGUAGAUAGGGAAGUAUCUUAGAAUUCUUGGUAGUCCAUUCUCCUCGAACCUGAUGUAUGAGUAGGUCUGAAUCUUCGAUCACAAAUAGUUCUUGAAUAUUCAUGUCGAUGGCCAGCUUGAGCCCUAAGAUGCAGGCUUCGUAAUCGGCCAUAUUGUUGGUGCACGGGAGCUUGGCGGAUAUAUGGUAACGUUGACCAAUUUCUGAUACCAAAACCGCUCCUAUACCAACUCCUUUGAAAUUUGAGGCUCCGUCGAAAAACAUCCUCCAACCAUCAUAGGAUUCUGCAAUAUCCUCUCCUAUGAAGGCUAUCUCUUCAUCAGGAAAAUAUGCCUAUAGGGAUUCUUAUUCUCCUCCUACGGGAUUUUCGGAGAGGUGAUCUGCCCAGGCUUGUCCUUUGACCGCCUUCUAGGUAACAUAAAUGACAUCGAAUUCACUUAACAGUAUCUGCCACUUGGAGAGCUUACAAAUAGGCAUGGGCUUCUGAAAGAUAUAUUUCAAUGGGUCCAUCCUGGAUAUGAGAUGAGUGGUGUAAGUGCAGAAAUAGUGCCUUAACUUCUGUGCUACCAAGGUUAAAGCACAACAAGUGCGCUUUAAUAAGGAAUACCGAGCCUCGUAUGGGGUAAGCUUCUUGGUGUUGUAGUAGAUGACCUACUCCUUCCUUCAUGUUUCAUCAUGUUGUCCCAAAACACAACCAAAUUCCCCAUCCAAUAAUGCAAGAUAAAGCAGCAGAGGUCUCCAUAGCUCAGGCAGAACCAAGACUAGCGGCGUUGACAAAAAUUCCUUGAUUCUGUCGAAGGCCUUUUGACAAUCAUCAGUCCACUUAGUGGUUUGCAUCUUUCUUUAGCAUCUUGAGGAUGGGUUCACAAAUGACAGUGGACUGAGCUAUGAAUCGGCUGAUAUAGUUGAGCCUCCCCGAAAAACUCGUUACAUCUUUCUUGUUCUUUGGCGGUGGGAACUCUUGAUUGGAUUUGAACUUUGACGGGUCCAACUCUAUACCCGGCAACUCACAAUGAAACCUAAUAACUUUCCGGCUGGGACCCCGAAUGCACACUUGGCGGGGUUCAAUUUCAAGUUGUAUCACCUCAGUAUGUUGAAGAAUUUUCUCAAAUCUCCCAUGUAAUCUGCAGCUUUCCUGAAUUUUAUGAUGGCGUCGUCCACAUACACCUCAAUCUCUUUGGGUAUCAUAUAAUGAAAGAUUGUGGCCAUGGAUCUCAUGUAGGUAGCACCAGCAUUCUUCAAACCGAAUGGCAUUAUUCUGUAAUAGUACAUUCCCCAUGGCGUGAUGAACGUCAUUUUCUCUGCAUCUUCUUCAUCCAUCCAUAUUUGGUGCUAUCCAGCAAAACAAUCGACGAAGGACUAGAGCUCAUGUUUGCCACAAUUAUCAAUCACUGUGUGUACCCCGACCGGUGGUUUCGGGAUCCCGUAGAAAAUGCUUCUUUUAUGCCUUGGGUAUUAGAUACAGCUCGUAUUCAUUCAGUAAUUCUACCCCAUCUUCAUUCUUGGACCUCGUUUCUUAAUAUUGUUACUUUUCCAUGCUGUGUCUCAGGAACCUUUUCAAUUUGGUCUGGAUUGCUAGCUCUCGUUCAUAGUUUUGCUACAUAUGAUACACGAGGAAUCUUUUUAUGGCGGUUCUUCCUUCUAAUGACCGGCGUAUCUAUGAUUCUUUUCUCCCAACAUGCUGUGUCUCAGGAACCUUUUCAAUACGGUCUGGAUUGCUAGCUCACGUUCAUAUUUUUGCUACAUAUGAUACACGAGGAAUCUUUUUAUGGUGGUUCUUCCUUCUAAUGACCGGCAUAUCUAUGAUUCUUUUAACCCAGAUGAAGCAGCAGGCAUUGGUCCGUAGAACCUAUGAAAAGGAGAUGGUUGUGGUGUAGGGAGGUCAUCUUUAGGACUGGCCCGAUUGAGAACAUAGUAGUCGACACAUACUCUAACCUUUCCAUCCUUCUUUGGCACCGCACAACGAUUGGCUAACCAUGUUGGGUAUUCUACCACUCUGAGAACCCUGGCUUUGACUUGCUUGGUAAUUUCUUCUUUGAUUUUCGAACUCAUGUCUGGCUUGAAUUUUCUGAGUUUUUGUUUGACCGGUGGGCAUGUCGGAUCUGUUGGCAUCUUGUGAGCAACAAUGGACGUGCUGAGGCCGGUCAUAUCAUCAUGCGGCUAGGCGAAUAUAUCCUCAUAUUCUUUCAAAAACUCUGUGUAUUCUUCCUUUUCAGAAGGUGACAAGUGUACGCUGAUACAUGUUUCCUUGAGGUUUUCUACGUCUCCCAAAUUAAUAACCUUGGUUUUGUCUAACUUAGACUUAGGUCUGUUCUCAAAAUUCUCGACCUCUCAAAAAAACUCUUCUGGUAUUUCAUCCUCUUCUGAAUCUAUGUCCGUUUGUCGGAUUGUCUCGUUGCAAGUUACAAUCGGUUCAUCAUCAAGAUAUAUAAUGGUAAUGAUGUGCAAAAUAAAGUAAAUGAUAGAGAAAAUAAAUGAGAGCGACAUAUAAAGAUAAACUUGGAAAAUGCUUUUGAUUAAAUUUAUAAUUGUCUGAAACAUUGGAGCUCUUUUCAAAAGUAAAGAGAAUGCUGAAAAGUAAAAUCAACUAUAAGUAAAGUGCGAUGUAUAUGUGUCGUUUAGCCUUGCAACCCCGAGGGCUUACGGGAACUGGUGGUCCUAGUUGGCCAAUUGGUGAGGCAUUCUUCCGGUUCAUAGCUUGACUUGAAGGGCCUUCCUCCCCUUCCUCCUCGAAGGUAACACAACAAUCCAUAUCAUUCUCCAGAAAUAGGUUCUUCAUUGCUGCCAGCGUCUCAUCUUCCUCUGACCUAUAUAUGACAUUGGCGGGCUGAAAGGUCUGCUCUAACUAAGGUAGAGGCUUCUCCAGUGGGUAGUAGGGGCCGCUCCAUGGUGGCGGCCAGUGCUCGAACUCUUUCCAAGUGUAUUCAUAAUCAAGGACAAAAGUGGUUCCAUGCUUCUUCAAAUGGAUAUGUUUAGUGAUACCCUGGAGAUUCUUGCUAAGACCCUUUACGAGAUCGUAUCCGCUCCAAUUCAGAAUGCUCUCAAUUUUGUUAUCCCACCACUUGUCUUUGUCUAUGGCUUUGACUCGCUCAAUGUGAUAGUAUGUUUCCCCACCGAUCUUCCUUCUUCCUCCGAUCAUCGGGAUGGCCUGGCGACUAUAUAUGGGGUUGCUUCUGUAGCCAUAGAUGAUUACUUCCUGAUGAUUCUAUUCAAAUUUUAUAGCUUGAUGCAACAUUGAUGCCACAUCCCCAACAGCGUGGAUCCAAGGUCGUCCUAGAAACAAGAUGUAGGAUGUUGGCACGCAAAUAACGUGGAAAUCGACAUCGAACCAGAUGGGCACCAUCUGUAGGCAUAAUCUAAUUUCUCUGAUGGUGGACCUCUAAGAUCCAUCAAAAGCUUUGACACUGAUAGCCCCAUCUUUGAUCUCGUGCAGUCCUUUGCCCACUGUCCUGAGAGUCACCAACGGACAAAUGUUGAGGUUGGAUUCGCCUCUUGUUAUGUUGCUGGUAACAUAAGCUUCACUCAGUAUGUUCAUCAAGGCAAUUUUAUGUGCCUCAAAGCUUUGUAGGAGAGCUAUAAUAGAAAUCUGUGUCGGUGUCUCGUUCAGUUGCUCGACGACCGAGUACUCUUUGUCCUGUACCUUUCUCCAGGGGUCAUCAGGUCCAGUUUUAAUAGCAUGCCCGGAGGCCUACUUGCUAGAGUUAGCCAAAUGCUCUGGGGUGUAUACCCUGCCUGUCCUAGUCAUGCCCAGUGCAGGAAUUGCUUCCCUAGUAUAUGUCUUUCCCUUCCUUCUAGCCUCAAUGGUGUAAUCCCAAGGUAUAGGAUUUGUUUGGAAUGGAGUCACGUCUGUCAUGGAGACGGGAAUCGGUGCCCUGGGAGGCAGCAUAGUAACUUCAAAUGGUGUAGGUGCCUUCGGAACUCCGAACUCAACUUCAAUUGGUUUUGGCACCUUGCAGGAGGUGCUUCAAACUCGAGUGGUAUGGAUAUAUUCACCACGUCGCCCUCAGAAGGUUGAAUCUAGGCAACAAUGGGAUUGAGAGUAAUUGUUGUCUUCUUAGGCUCGUCUCCUUCAGCUAUUAAACUGAUUGACCCCUUGGGGUCCCAAUCAUCUUCGAUCUCAAUCAUGUGGAUGUCUCAUCCCUUGUGGUCAGGCAGAGGGUUAUUGCGAACAUUAGGAGUGGGCUCCUUUUCCAUAAUGAUCUUGUUGUCAAUCAUAUUCUGAAUCUUGUCUUUUAACGAGUGACACUCGUCAAUGGUAUGGCCCUUCAUCCCGGAAUGGUAUGCGCAAGUCUUGUUUGGGUUGAUCCAUUGGGAAGGGUUUUCUGGAGUUACGGCUGGGUAACGAGCGACACUUGUCAAUGGUAUAGCCCUUCAUCCCGGAAUGGUAUGCGCAAGUCUUGUUUGGGUUGAUCCAUUAGGAAGGGUUUUCUGGAGUUACGGCUGGGAUAAGGGUAACGUAACCUGCUGCCUUGAGUUUUUCAUAUAAUUGGUCAAUCGGCUCGGCUAUGACGGUGUAUUGUCUAGGAGGUUUACGGUCAAAGUUUGGUCUAGGUCGAGGGAAAUUUUGGCGCGUAGGCAGUGAUAGGUAGUGAGAAGGUUAGGAGUUAUAUGCUUGGUAUAUGGGUGGGGGUUGGGAAUAUCUGGGUGUAGUGGGUUGAUAUGUAGGUGGUGAAGGUGAUUGGUAAGCGGGUGGUGGAAUUUGGUAAGUGGGUGAUGGUGCAUGGUAAUUUAGGGUAGGCUGAUAUGUGAGUGGAGCUGAGGGAUAGGUCUUGUAUUUCAUGGGGGAGUUGUUCCUCUGCGCAACCAUUACAGAAUUCACAUCUUUUUUCUUUGAUGAGCCACCAGACUGCAAGGCCUUGUUGGUAGCUUGCAAUGCCUCGAUGUUAGUGACCAUACCAUUCUUUAUGCCUUCCUCAAUCCUUUCUCUCAAUUUGAUGAUGUCGGAGAACUUUUGACCCUAAAUUAACAUCAGUCUCUCAUAAUACUGUGGGUCUUGAGCAUGAAUAAAGAACCUAUUCAUUUGCUCUUCCUCCCAGGCCAGUCUGACCUUAGCAGCUUCGGACCUUCAACGAGUAGCAUACUCGUGAAAGGUCUCUGUGGGCUUCUUCUUGAGAUUAUGGAUAUAGAACACUCUGGGUGCGUUCUCAGUGUUGAACCUAAACUGAUUCAUAAAAUCAGACGCCAUGUUUACCCAACUGGUCCACUUCUUCGCAUCGUGGCUAAUAUACCAAGAUAAAGCAUCACCCUUCAAGCUCCUUAUGAACAGCUUCAUACGGAUCUUCUCAUCCCUUCCGACCCCUACUAACUUGUCACAAUACAUUCUCAAGUGAACCCUGGGAUCACUUGUGCCAUCGAACAUUUUGAACUAGGGAGGUUUGUACACCUCCGAGAGCUCACAUUUGGUUGAACAUAUAGAUCUUCGUAAUUCAACCAUUCGACACCUUUGUUACCUUCGAAACCUUUGACCCGGCUAGUCAACUUCUUGAUCUCAACGGCCAAAUUAUGAAUGAGGGAACUCUUGUACUCUGUCUCAAUCGCACUGGAUAUAUGCUGACUGUAGUGCGGCAUAGUGUCCACAAAGAUCGGGAUAUUAUGGUCUUUUGUGGUGUUUUGUGGUUCAUGAGUGUUAUGAGUGGGUUGAAUUGGAGGUUGUGGGAUGUUUUACGGUGGUGCGGGGUUCUUGGUGUUAAAAUGGGGUGCGGAAAGAGUUAUUGACAGGCUUGACAGGUUUCUAACUUGGUCCAAUUCCUCUCGAAACCUCAACAAAGUUUUCUCUAGAUGAGCAGCAGUUUCUUUGGUGAUUGCAGCAUUUUGAGAAGCUUCUUCAAGUUUCUUCCUAGCGUUUGUAUCUCCCAUUUUGCCUUUGUUCCUGUUUCUGGUAGGACUGAGAGGAGGAGGAGGUGGAGGACCCUUUGAUCUUGUGGAGUAUGGUGCCAGAACGUACGAACUAACCUUUGGGGGGGGGGGGGAAUAAAAAAAAAGAAAAAAAAAGNNNNNNNNNNNNNNNNNNNNNNNNNNNNNNNNNNNNNNNNNNNNNNNNNNNNNNNNNNNNNNNNNNNNNNNNNNNNNNNNNNNAAAAGAUAAAAAAAGGUAGAAAGUUAAUGCAGGUUCUGAUAAACAAUACUACAAUAUUUAAACACAUUAUGUGGGAAUAUAAAUCGCUUCUUAUUUUGGGUGCCUCAUUGUGCUCGAGGUAGGCCUAGCGACAAAUAAAAUUUGGAGAACUUAUAAUGCUAAAUGCCUCAUUUUAUUGAUGAAAACAAAACGAAUCUAAACAACUAAAUGAUAAAGACAUUACUAAUGGCAAGUGGCCUUAUUACAUGAAGAAGAAUAAAAAUCCUAACUACUUGGUCCCAGAAGGAACUUCCCCAUAUUCGGUAUUCUUGCCUCCAUCUUAUAGCUGCAUCAACUCGUGCAUCCCUAACAGUAGGUAGGCUCAAGCCAAAUUUCCACCCGCGCUUCCUUCAGAAUUUUGGCAGUCUUCAAUCCUUUUUAAGAACUUCCCUUCCAACUCCACUAGACCUCGCUGCAGGUACCCCAAACGGUUGUUGGUGUUGACAACCAUAUCCUUCCAUUUGUUGAUUAGCUUCUCGUGGGCUUCCUGUAUUUCCCAAUGUUCGUUUUCACAUUCUCUCAUCCUCUUGCGCAGUGGAUUGUAUUUGACUUGUGCUUCAGUUUUCUAGUCAAUAAUCCUGUGACCGUGGACGAAUCCUGGAUGACCCAAACCAAUGUGAUCGUCUUCCAACCAACCUGUGUAGUGCGGUACACACCCGUCAUGAUACCUGUCUGGCUCAAUAGACUCCUUCCUUAGAACAAGCUUGCAGUGCCACAUAUGCUGAGCGUGACACCUAUGCGAGCUAUCAUUAUUUUGAAAGUCAGCCCUGAAAUGACUCAUUUUCUCUAUCCUGGGUAUGAUUUGUUUGCUUUCGGCUUGCCUCAUGACUCAGAGGGGGACGUAAGGAUGAGUUACCCUCAGGCCAAUGAGUAUGAGGAAUGGUGGGUCUCGAUAAUGGAUAAUGAACUCCCCUGUUGGGAACCACUCGAACAUCCACUGAAUUUGCUCUUCUUUUAGAUUCUCGAACAACUCUACCCAUCCACUAACAUCCUCUGGCUGAGCAAACACAUUGGGCAUGAAGUUCAUUCGCUUUGGAUGAUGAAAAGCGAUAUGGCCAUCCCAAUCCUUGCAUAUGAUUUCAUGUCUGUAGACACCUUUCUGAAGGUGUCUUAGGAGCCAUAGUCGAAGUACCAGAUUACAAUCCUCGAAAUGUGGAGCCCCUUUUUGACACUUUCCCAAGGCUCGAUAUAUUUCAGCGAGGAUCAUAGGUAUUACGCUGAAGGAUUGGCCGUCGAUCCCUUCCAUCAAAGUCUUGGUUACCAUGGCUAGUGUGGUAUGGAUCCUAGACUUCUUCAUAGGGCAAAUUACCAUGCCCAAGAAGCAAAACAUGAACACAAACACCCUUCUGUGAAUAUACCCCAAAGAGGUGAGGGAAAAUUUGUCCAUGUAGGUGCGAUAGGACUUAUUGUGGCCAUAUCUCUCGUGUAAGAAGUCGAAUGGUAUGUAAGAGUCCUUCAAGUUAGAAAGGUCGGGGUUUUCUUAAGUCCCAUCAUUUUAAGGAAACCUCUACUUUUGCGAUUCUCCGGCAUGAGUAAACCCGGCAUUUCCCAAAAGAUGCAAGCUAGGCCCCUUAUUCCUUCUAGAAGGGGGUCAUUUCCAAAUCUCGAAAAUGGAACACUGAUUGAUCACCAUUCCAAAACAUAGUGGCAACCUUAAUGAUUUUGUUAUUGGGUUGGAUUUCCAGCAGUGAUGGCAUCCCUAAGUACAUACGGAUGAGGGUUCGAUCACUGCUAUGAAGAUCUUCCCACCAGCUCAGCAACCUUGGGUGGAUGUUAAAUACCAUACCGAAUCUAGGGACCUCGUGCCUCAUUUUCUGCAAAACAGAAUGUUAGGCCCUUAACCCCACCAGACUCGACUAUUUAAAUCAAUAAUUAGCAAACGGCAUUUAGUUCUCCAAAUUAAUGCACAUAACGUGAAUGUGUACAUUUGGGUUUCAGGAAACCCGAUGGACUUUGGUUUAGGCUAUCUUAAUGAGUCAAUAUGCGGGACAACAUAAUUGACUCAGCAAGGGUUGACCAUGAUGCAUGAACAAUUUAAAGGAAUAAGGUUUCUAUUUUUGAAGUGCUAGAUAAGGUACCCUUGAGCGGGCAACUCAAGACAGAAAGGCGCCGAACCAUCGACAACACUAUUGAUCGACUGGUUUUAACUCAAAUAUGCCUUUGCCACAUUUAGGGGGUUUUUGAUAUUGGAAGCGCACAACCACUCAUUAUAAGCGUUGCAAUAGAAUUUGCUUUGGCACGAGUGGAAUAUGAUGUUGAGAGAUGCAAUUAUAAUAAUGAAAAAAAUUACAUGUAUUUUCAUGUUCAUAAGAUAAAUAAUUACAAUGAUUGCUCGAAAUUACAACAUUAUUGAAAUAGUAAAGCAGUAAAGAAAGCGGUUAGAGGAAAGAAAAGGCAUGAAGAGCCAAGUUAGUAGUUGUGAUGGAAUAAUCAAAACAGGAAAUAAAUGCGAUUAAAUAAGCAAUAAAGUCACAAAAGCAAGUAAUGGUAAAAUCCUAAAGGAAAUCCCCAGCAAAGUCGCCAUGCUGUCGACGCCCCCCUUUUUCCCUAAAAGCGAAAUCAGGUUUACAACAUUAUGAGCAAAACAACUCUUAUCCACUUUUAGGAAUUAGGCUAUGGAGUUUGAAGAGUCACCACCUAAUGAUUAUAGUGCAUUAUGACACUUUAAGAAGAAAGGAAGAUUUUUGAAAGAAAACCUGAGUUCGGGUAAGGGCUUGAAAUUAUCUCGAGGGGAAGGUGUUAGGAACCCCUCAAGAUCCACUAGUGUGGUUCCCGGCCUUUCUCAGAUGUGACUUUAAGAAACAUAGAAAUAGACAAGAUUAGUUUGCACAUAAAGAAUACGAGCAAGUUGACAAUUUUGAAAGGAGGAUAGUACAAGUAAAAGGGAAUUUUAGAGAAAACAUUUAAACAAAGAAAAAGUAAGGGGGGUCCUAGGUUUAGCUAUACUAUAGAUCAUUUGAUGCAAUAUCCAGCACAUAUUCCCAAAGAGGGGUCGCUUCAUGAUAUUAGCGCAUCGUCAUCAUCUCCAUAUUCUACCCUUCCCACCCCGUUAAGGUAUUUAAGCGCAUUUAGUCUUGUUUACUUAUUACAUGAUAUACCCGUCCCGACCUAUUAGUCUCGGGGUAUUUGGACUUCUAAUCCUAAAAAGGGGAGAAAGGGGAUGAGGGCAUAUAUGGAUUUUAAAGAUAAAAAUGCUAAGGCGUCAAUCAAAACAAAUAGCACAUAAAGGGAGUAAACAAACAUACAAAGGCUACACAUAAACCCCUUAAACCAUACAACAAUUAGUUUAGCAUGACUUGCAAAUACUAAUUUGGUCUUAAGCUUAAAACUAAUAAUGGAUAGAUUAGUUUAACACAUAAAGUUGGAUAAUAAGUCUACUUUAAGCCCCUCGGGUCCGGUUUGUUAGAACUUAAGGUAUUUUAAAAUUAGUAAUUUCAGAAAGCGUUAAUUUUAGACAAAAAUCUAUAAAGAAGAAUUUUGAAAACAAGAAUUUGAAGUCUGCAAAAGUCCAUAAAUGGCUUACAAAACAAGCCGAACUGCUUAAGUAAAAUGGUACAAGAAAAAGUUUUCAAAAAAGCAUUGAAGUGUAAAUUUAGGCAGAAGACCAAAAAACUUUGACUUCAGAAUAAAAUGCAGAUUUGGAAUUUUAAAAGACUCUAUGGAUUUAAAAUGGUGUAAAAAAGACUUGGCCAGAUUUCAAAAAUGAGAAGCUUUGGGCAAAUUUUAUUGAAAGUGUUUAACAAAUUAGGCGAGUUUGAACCGUAUAGGCAUGACAUCUACAUUUUUAUUGUUGCUGCUUUUAGAACGUUUAAGGGACCUAUUGUUUGCCUAGCGUUUUUAUGCAGUUCCUACAUACAUGAUUCUAUUAUGCUUGUAAUAAAAAUCCUAUUGGCUUGAUUUUUAAAUGGGAUGCAACAUUGAAAUUUUAUAGGCAUGGUUUCUAGAUGAUUAGCAAUAUUAAAAUCCUAUAGGCAUGGUUUCUAAGUAAUUGAAAUUCUAUAGGCAUGAUUUCCAGAUGAUUGGAAACAAUAUAAACCCAUCCCACACCCUUUCCACUAUAUCCACAAAUUCUUUUACAAAGCUGGUUACAAAAGUGGAAAGAAAAGACUAAGAAAGUAAAUACAUCAAAGCUAAAACGGUCCCGAGGAAGCCCAAAGCAACCUUAAUGUCCAACAUAUGUAAUAGAAGUUGGAAAUCUCAAGGUUCAAAGCUAAAACGGACCCGAGGAAGCCCAAAGCAACCUUAAUGUCCAACACAUGUAUUAUACCAAAUCCAGGCUCCAGAUUCUAAGGCUUUCUCUUAUGGUGUUUCAAAGUUCCAAGGGUUUUCAGGAAGCCUAGGCAACGCUUACACCCUAAAAAAUGAUUAGAGUAGUGCAAGGUGUAGAAUUACCACCCCUUAGGCAUCCAAGUUCAGAGGGAACUCUAGGGUCCCUAAGCAUUGCUUAACAUAGGGGGAUAGGACUUAAAGAAUUAAGAGUAAGUGUAAAAGUGAGGGAUUAGAGGAAGACCAAAGCAAUGGGUGGUCAUACCUAGCGAUGAAUGGGACUGGCACACCCCUGACCCUUUACAUAGCUUGAAAAAAUAAGAGCGGACUUAAGAAAGUCAGACUUAGGCCUGUAUGGUGAUUAGGACACCACUAAACCUGAGUCAAGCUCAACACAUAAUAGGGGUUAAAGGGGAUGGGGACUGAUUUGAGUAUAGGUUUAGAGCAACCUGGUUCUAAACUAGGGGUGGCAAUGGAGUGCCACCCUAGUCUAAAAAAAUACUCACACACAAAGGGGAAUUAAAGGAAAGGGAUAUUACAUGAAAGCAUUUAUAGCAAACAGAAUUAAACUAAGGGGACUUGGGGAAGGGAUUUACAGGAAGGUACUCAUACAAGCAUACAACAUCAAAACAUAGGGAUAUGGGGUAGGGAUGUGCAUGCUGAACUUUAAUUACAUAAUGAACAUAAACAGACGCAUGAAAAAGGGUAAGUAAACAUGCAGUUUUGGAGAUGGUAUUUAAAUCAUGGACCUACAAAUUGCAAACUCGAAUAGUAAAGCAUGCAGGGUAGAUAGAAACAUAUAGUUUAGCCUUGGCUUUCAGCCGGCUAAACUCAAGCAGCGGAUCAAAUGGCAGAAAAGAGCAUAGAUGAGAAGAGUGAUUGGGGUGUGAACUUGUGAUUGUUUGUAUGUUUGAAGUAAAAGGGAUGGGGUUUUUUGUAGUUUGAAAGUAAGUUGUAAAUAAGUCAAGAAAAUAACUUAGUAUCAAUCACAAUCAAUUAGGGAAAGGAUUCUCUUUAAUUAAGGACCAGACUUAAGGUAAAUAAACGGAGUUCUAUUUUUGGGAAGAAAAUCAAGAAUGAGUUGUAAAAUAAAGGGUAAAUACAUAUAAGGUUUUUGAAAUACACACGGUUUAAGCAAAUAAGGUAAAUAAAAUCAUCAAUCACAUAGGGAAUCAAGGAAACUGGUAUUCGUAUACAGUCCAAGAAUAAGUCUAAGUUGGAAAAUCAAAUAUGUUCAUAAAAAUCAACCCCAAAAUUAGGGUUAUUAAAGGGGAAAAUAUGACUAUAAAGAGAUGCAAAAAUUCUGAAAUUAAUAGAACAAUCAUGUAAUCAGAGAGCGGAAGAACAAAGGCAUGAAACAUAUUAGAAAAUGCAAGGCUGAAAUUAAUAGAAUAGUCAUGAAAUCAGAGAGUGGAAGAAUAGAGGCAUCAAACAGAUUAGAAGUUUUUGCAGAGCUUAGCAAGAAAUCAGAAGCAUGAAAGGGACUCAAACAGUUAGGGUUUCAGAAUCAAAUAUGCAGCAUACAAUCACACACCCAAACUCGAAAACCCCGAAGUCUAGGGUUUCCUCACAUUUCAAAAAUGUAAAGAAGAAAGUAAAAAUACUAAGGUAGACAAACUCGGAAAGAACGCAAAUACUCGCGAAAAGCAAAGUAUAGUACAGAGUCACUAGAAAACCCUAGGUAAAGGGAGAAUUACAUGGAGUUAUGGAUAAAACAUUCGCAAGUCACAACAAAAAUAAAGAAAUCAUAGUAGAGCAGUUAAGAGGAAGGAAAUUACGGAAACCUUAGUUUUAGGAAGAUAAACAGUUUGAAAAUAAAAUUGGUAAAAAAAUGUGGAAAACACUUUGAAACUUUAGAAAAUAAUGUAGAUCUGAAGUAGAUCGUGAAGAAAAACAAAGAAGUAAACCUUGGAGACUUAGGGUUUCAAAGAAAACCAUAAAGAAUGAGAAAGCCUGGAACGGACUGAUUUCGAGUUGACAACGGACUCAUAACACCAAGAUUAGCCGGAGAGAGACCGGACAUGGGCGUUGAACUCAAGUCGGAGGACAUAUGAGCCGGUAAUCUUCGAGAUAGGGAUUUGAUCUUUGAACAAAGGGGUAAUAGAAGGGGGUGAAGGGUGAGUACAGGUUGCAUAAAGCCUGGAAAGCCAUGUUUUCCGGUGAAACGAGAUCGGAAAGGGGUCUAAGGAGGGAUAGGGUUUUAGGGGUUUUGAGAGCAUUUUGGGGACGAGGGGGAUAUAAAAUGAUUAGGGUUAGGGGUGUAUUUGGUUUAAUUAAGGGAAGGGGCUACGUGGACCAUUGAUCUAAAUGAUCAACGGUCCUGAUUAAAAAGGGGUUCCGGGCGGACUGGUUUAAUUGGGUCUGGGUCUGGUUAUUUAUAAAAUUGGUUAGUGUAAUUGUGGGUUGAAAUUAGGGCUAUAAUUUAAAUAAAGAGGACCAUAAUUUAAAUAGCAAAUUUUCUUUAAUUUUGAAUUUUAUAAAAUAGUAAAUGAUGUUUAAAAAUCAAAUUAGAAAAUUCUGAGUUAAUAAAAAAUGCAUAAGUAUUAAUUUGAAAAUAUUAGAAAUUAUUUUAUGAUUAAAAAUGCUAUUAAAUCGAGAAAUGGGCUAAAAUUGUAAUUUCAUACAAUUUUAGUUUAGAAAUACCAAAUGAACUUGUAAAAUUGUGUAAAAAUUAUAUAAAUUAUUUUUUGAUGAAUGAGAGAAUAAAAUAAAUUAUUCACCAAAAUAAUAAAUUGUGGGAAUAAUUAUUGGAUUUUAUAGUGCAAAAAUAAGCCAUAAAUUGAUUUAAAAAUUCUUUAAAAUGUGGAAAAAUACCAAAAAUUUGUGGAUGCUUAUAUAUGCUAUUUUUGAGAAUAUUUUGAGUAUAAGAAUAUAUAGAAAAAAAUUGGGUAUCAACAGCGUGGAGAGGACUCUCUUGAUGUGCCAUUUCUCGAAGAAUUCAGUCGUUUUUUGACCGAUGAACUAUCGUCCCUUUUUGCAAAUGAUUUCUCUAGGGAUUCACAAGCCGCAUAUAAUGUUCUUACAUAUGAAGGUGAUGAACUCCUAUUCGCGUAUUUGUGCGUACGCACCUGCUUCCACCCACUUGGAAAAAUAGUCAGUCAAAAACAAGCAAAAAUCGUACCUUUCUCGGUCCUACGGUAGGGGCCGACUAUGUCCAAUAUACAUUUGAUGAAGGUAUUGGGAGAGGUGACCGAGUGUAGGGGUUCCCCUGGAUGGUGGAUCAUUGGGGCAUAAUUUUGGCAUUUUUCGCAUCCGCGGAUGUAUUAUGCUGCUUUUUUUUUCAUGGUGGGCCAGUAGUAGCCGACGCGAAUGAUGCACCGCACAAGCGUAGUUGCCUGUAUGGGCGUCACAGUGACCCUCGUGUACUUUUUCAACAAAUGGCCUCGUUUGGUGUGGGCCUAGGCACUUGUCCAAGGGUCCGCCAAAUGUUCUCUUGUAGAGGUCGUUGUUGAUCAGGCAGUACCAGGCGGCUUGCAUGCGUAGUUUCUUUGCCUCUUUCUUAUCGCGCGGCAGUGUUCCGUUCUGUAUAUAGGAUAUGAACUGGUUGCACCAAUCCCAGGUUAGAUUUAAUGAAGAUACCUCAGUAUGAUCGAUGGCUGAACUGAGGAGGUGACAACACUUUCCUUGUUGAUGUUUUUGGUGGCCGCGACUAAUUUUAUUAGGUCGUCCGCUUCAAUGUUUUGUGCUCUCGAAAUUUGUUUGAAGUGGCACUCGUCGAACUCAACCAUUAGCCUCCUGAUUUAUGUUUGGUACUUUUGUAGCCUUUAUUCUUUGAUCUGGUAAGUCCCAGCAACCUGGUUUACCACGAGCUAUGAAUCGCAAUGGAGAAGGAUCCGCAGGGCUCCUUACUUGAUUGGUAAUUUCAUACCUACAAUAACGGCCUCAUACUCGGCCUUUUUGUUAGUCAUUUUGGGGCAUCGUAUGGACUGGCAAAUUGUUUCGCCCAUGAGGACCUCGAGGAUGAGUCCCAAUCCCGAUCCCGAUGCAUUGGCGGCACCAUUGGUGUGUGAAGGCCUAUAGGUUAUUGCUGGAGGAGGCGUGUUGGGCCUCUAGCUCCGCCUUCGAUAGGAUUUCGGCACUGAAGUCGGCUAUGAAGUCAGCUAGGACUUGAGACUUGAUGGCAUUUCUCGGAAGGUACGAGAUAUCGUGCUCGCUGAGCUCAAUGGACCAUUUUGCAAUCGGCCUAAUAGCUCAAGCAUAUGUAAGACACUCCUCAGCGGGAAGAUAGUUAACAUUCUUAUGGGAUAGCAUUGAAAAUAAGGUUGUAGCUUUCGUGAAGCUACAACUAGUGCUUGUGCCAGCUUUUCAAGGUACGGGUACCGAGUUUCGGCGUUCACUAGUGUUCUGCUAAUGCAUUAUAUGGGAGAUUACAUACCUUUAUUCUCGCGUACUAGGAGAGCACUGACGGCGACCUCAAACACGGCUAGAUACACCAGAAGUGGUUCACCUGGUCUCGCUUUGGCUAGUAGGGGCGGCAGGGAUAGGUACACCUUCAGAUUUUUGAGGGCUUUAACGCAUUCUUCAUUCCACAGAAACCCCGGAUCUUUCUUUAGCACACUGAAGAACUUAUGGCACCUGUCAGAGAAUCGCGAGAUGAACCUGGAAAUGGCGGCUACCUGACCCGUCAGCUUCUGCACCUGUUUUUUACUGCUUAGCACUUCUAGGAUUGUGUCUAUUGCUUUGAUCUGAUCUGGAUUGACUUCGAUACCCCUCUGAGAUACGAGGAAUCCCAAGAACUUUUCCGAGGCCACGCCGAAGGCACAUUUUUCGGGAUUCAGUUUCAUCCCGUAUCUUCUUAAUAUUUCGAAGGCCACCUUCAGAUGGUCGAGGUGAUCCUCCUUUCUGGACGACUUUACCAGCAUGUCGUCGAUGUUGACUCCGAGGAGAAGAUGCAUUUUCGGGAUUCACUUUUAUCCCAUAUAUUCUCAAUAUUUGGAGGCCUCCUUCAGAUGGUCGAGGUGGUCCUCCUUUCUAGACGACUUUACCAGCAUGUGAUCGAUAUAGAGUUCCAUUAUUUUGCCAAGUUGUUCUUUGAACAUCUCCGUCACUAACCUCUGGUACGUGGCUCCCGCGUUUUUUAGUCUGAAGGGAAUCACUUUGUAGCAGUAUGUCCCUUGGUGAGUGAUGAAUGUCAUCUUCUCCUGAUCUUCUACGGCCAUCAUGAUUUGAUUGUAGCCGGAAUAUGCGUCCAGGAAACACAAUACUUCAUGCCCGGCCAUCGCGUCUAUCAGCUAGUUGAUGUGGGGAAGUGGGAACGAAUCUUUCGGGCAUGCUUUAUUUAGGUCGGUGAAAUCCAGGCACAUUCGCCACUUCCCAUUUUUCUUCUUAACCAUGACGACGUUGGCGACCCACUCAGGGUACUUGGAUUCUCUGAUGGAACCAUUUGUUCAUAGUUUGUCUGCUUCUUCACUCACAUCUUCGUUGAUGGUGGUAUUGAAUUUUCUCCUCAUUUGCCUCAUGGGCGAGUGUAGCGGAUCAACGUUCAAUUUGUGGGUAGCGAUGUCCCACGGUAUCCCUGGCAUAUCUGAAUGAGAAAAGGCGAACAAGUCUACAUGGUUAGAUAAGAAUUCACAAUACUUACUUGGGUUUGAAAGGCCAUGCCCGAUAUAGGCCCUCUUCGUGAGAUCGAUAUUUUCUAGCUGCACGGGGUCGAGGUCCUCGACCGUGGCUUUGCUGGCUUCUAUGAUAUCUGGGUCUUUGAUGGCGUCCUCUGCUGGGUGAACCUUAGUCCCCAACAGAGUUGAUUGCUAUGCUUCUGCGCUUACCCCUUGGAGUUGUUUGGUAUGGGUAUAGUCUUGAGCUAUUUUGUAUCAUUCAGGCAGUGUGGGGUUUGCCUCGUAUGCUGAACACCCCUCAAGGGGUGGAAAAUUUGAUCACCUGAUAAAAGCUGGAGGGGACCGCUCUCAUGGAAUGUAUCCAUGGUCAUCGAAUGAUGGCAUUGUACGCUGUCUCCUGGUUCAUCACGUGAAAAGUGGUUUCCAGUGUAACUCCUCCCGCCAGGACAGUAGUGUUAUUUCUCCGGAAGUUCUUUCUACUGCAUUGUCAAAACCAGUCACUGUUAUGUAGCGAGGUACUAUCUUUUCCUCGAGUCCCAUAAGUGCAAGGACUCUCGGGUGGAUAAUACAAGCGCCGCUACCGUCGUCAAUCAUAAUUCUCUUAACAUCUGUAUCCAUAAUGCGUAAAGUAAAAACCAAAGCGUGGUAAUGAGGAAAAUACAAACCGUGGGCAUCAGACUUAUUGAAGGUGAUACUAUCCGCCGCUAUCGCCGUCAAUCAUAAUUCUCUUAACAUCUGUAUCCAUAAUUCGCAAAGUAAUAACCAAGGUGUGGUAAUGAGGAAAAAGACAAACCAUCAGCAUCAGACUUAUCGAAGGUGAUACUAUCAUCGAAGUCGUCAUAUUGUUCGUGGGUGAUAGUUUGCUUUAGCUUGUGAGUAGUGGUGAAUCUGACGUAAUUGAUCAUCGAGUCGUUGCCGUACCAGAUGAUCAUAUUGAUCGUGCGUGUUGGCGAGGGCGGCCUUGGUGGUCCGUUGGGUUGAUCCCGCCCUCGUUCAAAGUUGAGUUUCCCUUUAUCGCUGAGCAAUUCUCUCAGGAACCCUUAGUUCAGCAUCCUGUCCACUUCCUGCCAUAGGCCUAUGCAAUCUUCGGUCUUACGCCCUCGCUCCUGGUGGAACUCACGAAGGGCAUUUAAUUAUCGGGUGGUAUCUCUCCCUUGCCAGGACUUGCUAUUGAUUUAGUCUCCCUUGCCGGGAUAUUCUUGGACUGUUAGUUGUACCCUUACCGGGUUUAACUGUUAAGUUGACGAACUUCCCUAAUGGGGCCACCUUUGAGGAGAUUGUUGGAGUUAAUCAAUAAUACAUCAUGGGAUCGUGUGGUACGCCGUCCACUUAUAUAAUACAUCAUGGUAUCGUCUGGCAUGCCGUCAACUUAUUUAAUACAUCAUGGAAUCGUGUGGUACGCCGUCCACUUAUUGUUAUUGGCCUGAGAUGCCGCGGGAUCAUGUGGCGUGCCGUCCACUUAUACAUUACAUUCUUUCGCAGAUUGCGAUAACACGUGCGUCUUCUUCUUCUGCACAGCAGCCCGAGCCCCCAGCAGCAUCUCCCCCGAGGGGCAGGGGCUGAGGCCGGGCCAGAGGCCGUGGCAGGGGCAUAGCUCAGCCCCAUGCAGCAGUUACAGAGGUGGAGCCUCAUGUUGACUUUGAUGAGGAGGUUCCAGCUCCACCAGCUCUAGUGGGCCCAGCUCAUGUCCUAGGAGGAGUGAUGUUUUCUUCGUAUCUUCAGGAUGCUCUUGUCCUCAUAGCAAGAUUUAUGGACAGUGUUGCUAGAGCGGGAUUGCUGCCAGUAGCACCAGCUACUUCUCAGGCUGGAGGAGGGUUUCAGAAUCCUGCUACACGUACCCUGGAGCAGGUAGCUCCCCAAACUAAGGUUCCAUUGGUUCAGUCUGUAGUGGAAGCUCAGGUAGGUACUACAGCUCAGGCCGGAGAUGGGACGGCCAUGUCUUCGGAUGCUGAGGGGUUCAGAAUCCUUCUACACGUACUCUGGAGCAGGUGGCUCCCCAGACUCAGGUUCCAUUGGUUCAGCCCACAGUGGCAGCUCAGACAGGAAUUACAGCUCAGGCCGAAGAUGGGACGGCCAUGUCUUCGGAUGCUUUGUGGAGGCUUGGUUGGUUCUCCAAGCUUUUCACUACUACCUUCAGCGGUGCUUCAUCGGAGGAUCCCCGGGACUUUCCAUACAGUUGUCAUAAGAUCCUCAGGAGUAUGGGGAUAGUGGAUACCAAUGGGGUCAAUUUUUGCACAUUCAGGUUGUUAACAAAAUUAAUUCUGAAAAAUAUCGAAAUACCAAAUUUUAGAAUUUAAUAUCGAGGACCGUACCGAAAUAUUGAAAUUGCAAUACUGAAUUAGAUCGAAAUAUUGGAAAAAAUCGAAAUCGAAAUACCGAAUUAAUUCAGUCUGGUUCAAAAUUCGAUUUUUCGGAUCUUAUGCCCAUCCUAAUAAGUACCAGCAUUAUUAAUGUAUUUUAACUUGUUAUAAUAAGUAAUACGUCUUAUUUUCAGAUUACAAAUAUUACUUCUUAUGAAUUAUGUGUUUUUUUAUAUUUCAGAUUACAUGUAUUAUUUGUUAUAUAUAUGAACAAUUAUGUGUUGUUAUCUUUUAAGUGAUGUAAUAAUUUUUUUAAUAUUAUCAUUGUAUUAGAAGUUAAUUAAACUUGUUAACCAUUAAUUAAUCAAUAGAAUCUUAAUGUGCAGUGGGAUAUAGGAGAAAAUGACAGCUUAACCAUACUUAUCCUCCAAAAAGUGUUUCUUGAUAUUUCGAGUCCUAUAAUUACCUCCCCUAAGAAGAAACAGGAAUAGUGAACUUAUUUUCCUUUUAUGGUGCUACUAACAAUUUUUUAUUGAUAAUAAUGAUAUACGUGAUUGACGGCGAAAUAAAUAAAGAACCAAAAUAGUUAACUGAUUAAAAAGGAAAAACACUUCCAUGCCUGAUGAAAAUGACACGUUUCACGUUAAAUGUCCAUCAUUUUUAACCAUCAGAUUCGACCUUAAUUUUUUUUUUAGGAGUUUGAAAACUAGAUAUAAUUUAGACAUAAUUACAUUUAAGCUACAAAUAAAUAAAUAAAUAUAAAACAUUUUACUAUCAAAAUUGACGUAGGACAGUUACGUACUCUACUUCAUUCUGUUUUCUUGCAAUGCUUCUAUUCAAACGCUAGUGUAAGGGGAAAAGACACUAUUUGUGUGCCUACCAAAUUUACUUCCUAAUACGUAAGAUAUUAGUAUAAAUUUUGUUUCCAAUUAAGGAUAGAGAUAGCCUGUUUAAUUUGCCGAGCUUUUAAAAUUAAUAUAUUUUGAAAAGUGAUUUUUUAAGAGUAUUUAUUUAGAAAAGGUAUUUUAUUUGGAUAUACUUAGCUAGCGUUUGGUCAUAUUUUCAAAAUUUAUUUUGAAAAAUCUGAUUUGGGUGAAGUUUGGUUUGAAGAUGAAAAUGUGUUUGGACAUCAGUUUUCAAAAUAUAUUUUGAAAAAAUAUGAAACAUGACUUAUAUCCACAAGUUCGAAAAGUUAUCACAAAUACCCAUCAGUACAAUUAUUAAUAACAUUCAUUAUAUUAUAGCAAAACAUAGUCUUGAACCUAAAUAAAUUUGGUAAAAAUUAUCAUUUUUAUAAUAAACUACAUGAUACACUAUCAGAUGACCGAGAAGACGAAGCAAACAUUAUUACAAAAUAAUAAAUAGUGGAGUGGACUCUUGAUAAAAUACAAAAGUUUAGGGGAAUUUUUAGAAAAAUCUAAUAGAGAUAUUUUGGCCCAACACUAGCUAUUGAGCUGAUUAGGCAAGAUCUAUGGCUAAAUAUGUGUUUGCCAAAUAAAAUCCAAAGUUAUUUUGGUAAAAUUAUGGCCAAACGAGUCCUUAGUAUUUGAUCAAGCUUUUUAAAAGUAUUUUUUUCUUAAAAACAUUUAUUAAAAAAAUAUUUUAAGGAAAAAUUGGUUCUUUUUUCUAGUUAUAAAAAAUUAUUUCUAUACAAAAAUAUUUUUUUACCUUCUAAAAAUUUAGUCAAACAUUUUAAUUUUAGAAAAAAAAUAUUUGUGACAAAAAGAAAGUAGUAUAGUAAUAUUUAGCCAAACAGACUACUAGAAGGAUUCAUAUUGGGGUCAUUCUAGAAAGCCACCACGUAUAAGUUAUUUUCUACACAGCACCCAACGGUACAGUCGGUAUAAAUUCAAAUCAAAUAAUGGAAAUUCUUGACGAACUUUAACGUUCUCCUUGGAAAAAUUGUAUAUUUGGUUCCCUACAUUAAAGGGAUUAAAUUAGGACUCUACUAUGUACCAAACACAAAAACAGGUUUUGUCAUAUGAAAGAAGAUAUACUCAAACCUUAAAGCAGUGUUUAUCUUUUGUUUUUGUCCAGUUUGGAGACACAAAAGUUAAGGUAAAACACACAUCCCAACUUUUCUUGUCUGUAAUCAACUGUUUUGAAGUACUGUUUCUGUCUUGUGUCUGUGAGUUCUUUACUACUUUUAACUUUACCAAUUUUCACUAUUUUUCAAUAGUGUUUUUUUUUACUUCAUAAAUCUUUAUGUACCAAUUUGUGUAUUGAAAGAUGAGUUCUUUUCAUGCCUUUUGAACUUUUCCAUGAUGGGUCUUCAGUAUUUGACCGUCUUGCUUUUUUGAUACUACUCUUUUUGCAGGUUUUUGUUUGAUAUGUGUUUUUUUUCCUUCUCUUACUCUGUUUUUUUGCAUUCUCUUUUUAAAGUAUAGUUUUGAGUUUUUGGUUCUUUUGGUUGUUGGAGAUCCUCUAUGAUUUCUGUUAAAAUUAUGACUUUUAUGGGUUUGACAGAGGUUUAACAAACGUUUGUAGCGAACAAGAGAGAAGAACAGGAAGCAGAAAGUUUGAGUUCUUGGAGUUUAUGCUACUGAUGAUUGGUUACAUGAUGCGUGGAACUUAUGUAACGAUUUUGUUGGUAUUUGCAAUUUUUGCUGUUCAAGAUUGCAAAGGGUUUACUGAUCCUCGUGAUGGUAGUAAUUAUUUCUCAGUGUUUCCAAUUUAGUGUACUUCAAAAUAAUGGUUGUGUGUUGUGUGUUAAUGUCUCCAUAAUUUAAAUUUGUAUCAUUUAUGUCAUCUUUUGUGUAUUCACACUUCUACUUUCGUAUAAAUUAGGUGAAGUUCAUGACUUUGUUUUCUUUUCUUGUUCUGCAGUUUUUGCUAUAAAUAGUUUGUAUACAAGUCUGGGCUACCCAUUGCUUCCUGGAUGGGUGCCAUAUGGAUUAGACCCUUGUGGUGAUAAGUGGCAUGGUGUACUUUGUGUCAACUCCAAUAUAACUGCAAUGUAAGAAAUCUCUCUUUUUAUUCUUUCUUGUGUUUCUCACACGGUUAGAUGGCAUUUGAUGAUAGAUCUCUUUCUUUCCCUUUUUGGCAGAGUGCUUAAUGAUUCAAAUUUGGGAGGUGAACUAAGUGACGGCAUAGGAAGCUUUGCUUCAAUCAUACAAAUGUUAGUGCCAUCUUUAUCUUUAUGAAUGCAUUGAUUUAACUUCAUGAGUUUCACCUAUUCAUGUUUUUCUGGCUUUAGCUAAUUCCUGUGUGUUAAAUGUUUGCACUUUGUUACGUUGAUGAAUUCAGAGAUCUCAGUAACAACCAUAUUGGUGGCAGUAUGCCAUCCAAUUUGCCUGUGACCGUCAAGACCUUGUAAGUUGUUAAGCUUUGUCCUUGCCAAGCUUUUUCUUCAGUUUAUAGGUUAUUGGUCCAAACUAUAUCCACAUUUUUAUCCUAUUAUGGUAUUUAUGUAUAUAUAGGUCUCUCUCUGGUAACCAGCUUACUGGUAGCAUUCCAGACACCCUAUCCUCGUUAGGGCAAUUAUCGGACUUGUAAGUUUUAUUUACUUGACUUAUGUUGAUAUUCUUUAUUUAAUGACCAUAUUUCUGUUUUCAGUACAUUUCUUUCUUUCCAUGUAGGUUGCUGAACAAUAACCAUCUUAAUGGAGUUAUUCCAGAUGCCUUUCAGCAGCUUAAGACUUUGAUUAAUAUGUAGGCAUACUUCUUUUAGCUUUUAACCUUUUUCGCUAGUGAUGGAGUUCCAUUUUCUGUGCUGUUUAUAUUAAUCCCUUCAUGUUGUUAUUAGCUUAAGACUUUGAUUAAUAUGUAGGCAUACUUCUUUUAGCUUUUAACCUUUUUCGCUAGUGAUGGAGUUCCAUUUUCUGUGCUGUUUAUAUUAAUCCCUUCAUGUUGUUAUUCUGCAGGGACUUAUCUGGGAACAGUUUAAGUGGUCAGCUGCCUCCUUCAAUGGGGAAUUUGUCGUCACUUACUACGUUGUAUGCAUUUCUCCUUGUUCGUAUGAUAAUCAGGGGAAUCUACUUUUCCGGCUAUGUGAAAUGAGUGCUAUCUUCUUUCGAGACACUUAUAGAAGUUCAAAUAUGUCCUUAAUUCCUUCAAAAGUCGAACACUAGUUUUGCUCAUACAUAAUUUAAAAUGGGAAGAAAGGUAAAUAUAGUUUGUGUAGCAUAUGGAACUGUUGUAUGGACCCAUCAAAUAAAAAAAGCUAUUGUAUGCUCAGCUGAAUGUUGGUUCGUCCAGAUGUCUUUCUUGCGAAGAAGCUAACUGAUGGAUAUUGAAGAAUUCUUUAUAACUGAUCUUUUGUCUAGUAUCUCUAUUCCCAACAACUAAACUUAAUAUACUUGAAUGGGAUCAGGAUGUUAACUAAUUGCAGACCUGAACUUGUGAAUGUAGUAUUGGUUGUGAAUUUUAUGCAGUUUUGAGUAUUAUGUUUGGCCAUCUGCAGACACUUGCAGAACAAUCAGCUUUCUGGGAUCCUUGAUGUUUUGCAAGAUCUUCCUCUAACAGAUUUGUAAUCUUCUCGACUAAUAGUUUUUCUGUCAUUAUAUGCUUUUAACUAUGUCAUCAUCUGCUCAAUGUUGUGCUUAUAAUUUGGUCACGUUCUUGUUCUGCAGAAACAUAGAGAAUAAUUUGUUCUCUGGGCCUAUACCAUCAAAAUUGUUGACCAUUCCCUCCUUCAGGUAAAACCUAGAAAUUUUGGCCCUAUUUAUUUUGAAAUUUCUUUUGAUCCGAUUGAAAUCCAUUUUUUCCGGUCUUUAAAUUCUAAAUAUGAACUGGAGUAUCUUAUUCCUCUUUCUUUUAAUUUGGCUUCAUCUCUCUGUAUUUUAUCCAAAUUUUUUUGAGGUUUCUAGGGCUAGAGAUAUAAGGAGAGCUUUGGUAUAACUGGUAAAGUUGCUGACAUGUGACCCGAAGGUUGCUGUGGAAACAUCCUCUUGCAAAAGUGUAGGGUAAGGCUGCGUAUAAUAGACCUUUGUGGUACGGCCCUUCCCCGGACCCCGCUCAUAGCGGGAGCUUGGUGCACUGGGAUGCCCAGUGGCUGGAAAAGGGAUACUAAUAUGCAUGGUCUUUUUGAUGAAGACUGCAUAUGAACCACCUUAUGAAUCACUUCCCAAUUAGGGGCUGUUAUUAGUCGUCUUUAUCCGUUCUACCUUAUGCAUCAUCCUCUGAAUCACUCAUAACUUUAGCUAAAUUCUAUUUUCUGCGUGAAUUAUCAUAUAUAGGUGGUGUUUGUUGUGAAAAGUCUUGGGGUUUUUGAAAGACCUUUUUGAUAAAACUGACAGUCUUGAACAAUUUGAUUGGUCAAAUUGAACUUACAUCAACAACAAAAUACCAGUGUAAUUCCACAAGUGGGGCCUGGGGUUAGAUUGAACUUACAAUGGAUGAAUAAUCAACAUGAAACAUUUCCUGAUAGGCUAGCCUUAGAUAUGGCCUUAAUAGUCAGUUGGACUGAAUUCGGGGGAAGCCAGUUAGAUUAGCUUUUUUCUUAUUUCAUGAAAAGUUCUUUUUGCAUACUUAUAAGCGUCAGCUGCCUUACAUGGUGAUUCUAUAUUUUUGGUCAGACGUGCAGGGAACCCCUUUAACACUACUAUCAUCCCUUCACCGCCUGUGAUAUCGCCUUCUCCUGCACCAUUUGCGCUUUCUCCAGAUGUAGCCCCUUCACAGCCAUUUACUGUACCAUCAGGACAAGGAUUACAACACUCUGGAAGGCAAAAGAGUAGUAAUUCAACCAAACACGUCAAAGUUCUUUCUAUAGCCGGAUUACUUACCCUUGUCAUACUUGGAUUGGGUGUUUGCCUUUUGAUGUCACGAUUCUUAAAAAGAAGAAGAGAGUCCCAAAAAGAAGCCAAGAGACAUCAUGAAUAUGCAUAUAAUUCAUCCAAGGGGGGCCCUAAACACAAUCAAUCCGUGCUAAAACCUUAUUAUGAUGCAGAAAAAGGUAAAUAGUACAUUUGUGUACUUUCUUCUUAUUGAUUUCUGUUUAUCAUUGCUUACCUAUUGUUCUUAAUGGCAUUGUGAUGACAAUAUGGAUAUGUUCAAAAGAAGUAGGUCUGAGGCCAGUGACUGGAAAUGGGAAAGCUCAAGGGAACAUCUCACUGAAUACUUCAGAGACUGUGAAACAUAUAGGCAUGAAGAGUACAACAUCAUAUACAGACGAUGAUCUAGAUUCGGAGAUGGAGUCGACAAUAUCGGAUAUUCUUCCCCCACCGCCACCACCUUUUCUUUCAUCUCUUUCCGCUGAGAGGAUGGUCGUAAAUCCAAUUUUGCCCUCAAUUACAUCUGUCAGACAUGCUAUGAAAGUAAAUUCUGCAGAGUUCUUCACCAUUGCCUCUCUUCAGCUGUUUACAAAUAGCUUUUCUCAAGAUAAUCUUAUUGGAGGAGGCAUGCUUGGCACAGUCUACAGAGCCGAGUCUCCCAAAAAUGUAAGCAUCUUUAUGUUUCACCAGCUUCACAUCAGUCGAUACUGUGGCAUUUUCAGUUUCAUUUCACCCUUUAAAGGUGGAAAUUUCUCGUUAUUUGUAUUAAAAGCAUGGUUUGUGGUAGCAGACAUUUCUAUAUACAUCGUACUGAUGAUGUUUGAUGGGUCCGUUUUCGUUAAAUUCGAGUUCUGCAUAGCAGUAGUAGUUCCAACCUUAUAGAUGGCAACAGUUUCCUUUUGUAGACUGUAGAUAAACCUAACACGCCUCUUGAUGUUCUGAAUUAGUUUCCUGCUUUCCUGUUACCUAUUUGUAUUCCUCAUGUUUGUAUAACCUAUUUAGUUUCCGUCACAAUCAGAAGGCGCUGACACUUAGCUAUUUCUUGAUGUUCUUUGUUUUGUUAGCUAUUGGCGGUCAAGAAACUGGAUGCUGCUGUGACCAGGCGUCAAAGUGAUCAAGAAUUUGUUGAGAUGGUGUCCAAUAUAUCUAGACUUAAGCAUGAAAACAUUGUAAAACUUGUGGGUUACUGUUCGGAGCAUGGGCAACGGCUACUUGUCUAUGAGUAUUGUAGAAAUGGUACUCUCCACGAAGCUUUGCACUUAGAUGAUGAGAUCCACAGAAAACUUUCCUGGAGUACUCGUGUGCGUAUUGCACUUCAAGCAGCAGGAGCACUAGAGUAAGUAUGGGAAAAUGCUGGAUGAUACUAGCCUUUAGGUGCUUGGAACUUGUUUUAAUGAUGUGUAGAUCUCAAUUCUGCUGGUCAAAUGGCUGUUAAGUCAGCUCUGCUUGUUUCCAGCUUAUAUCUUUGCUGUCCCACGAUUUAUUCCUUUAGCACAAUCCUUAGCUUGUAAUCAUUUAGGGAUUGAGUUGCUUCUUGCUGUUUCACUGAAAAGGUACUUGCAUGAAGUUUGUCACCCACCUAUUGUCCACCAGAACUUCAAGUCCGCUAAUGUUCUCCUCGAUGAUGAGCUUGCUGUGCGUAUAUCAGAUUGUGGUUUGGCACCUUUGAUGUCAUCUGAUUCUACAACACAGGUGAUCCAUAGAUAAACAUUUCUGAUGAUUGGUUGAUUGUUUGAAAAUAGAAUCUGGAAUCCAAUUUCACUUCUUCCGACAAAAUAGAAACAAUUAUAACAGGAGAUUCUUGGUAUUUAUUCUGAAUUCAUAAUAGCAUGUUAGCCUUUUGGUAUGUUAUCUUCACUGAACUUGUUAAGCACUUCUUUUUAACUUUUUUAGAAACUUGAUUCUUGACUUCCUGGUUUCAACCAGCAGCCACAUUAAUAUGGAAAUGUGGUGCCGAAGCAUGAAUUAGCUGCUAAAAGUUGGUGCAGUCUGUUAAUAAAAAUUGUUUGCGGCUGUUUCGUGGGCAUAAAAUGAAAGGACAAGAGCUGGUGUUUCUGCUAAUUUUUGUUGGCAACAAAAGCUGACCAUCUUAUAUUUUAUUUGUGAAUGAAUAAAGUGUUAAUGACUUCACUGUAACUUUUAGUUGCAAGGAUGCGGCUAUGGUGCUCCUGAACUUGAACUGGGAAGCUAUUCUUGUCAGAGUGAUGUUUAUAGCUUUGGAGUUGUUAUGCUAGAGCUUCUCACGGGAAGAAAAUCUUACGACAGGUUAAUUUUGUUUCGACAGAUGUAUUUGAGAACUUUUUUUUAUUGUUGAAACUGCAUAUUUUUUGUACAAUAAUACGUCUUUUCUGUAUUUGAGAACUUUUUGUUAUUGUUGAAACUGCAUAUUUUUUGUACAAUAAUACAUCUUUUAACUUUGAGCUCAUUAAAAUAUGAUUUCCAGGUCCCGUCCUAGAGGGGAGCAGUUGCUGGUUCGAUGGGCUAUUCCACGGCUGCAUGAUAUAGAUGCAUUAUCAAGAAUGGUUGAUCCUUCCCUAAAUGGUUCUUAUCCAUCGAAGUCUUUGUCUCGGUUCGCUGACAUAAUUUCCUUGUGUAUUCAGGUUAGUUUCUUCUUUUACAGGUUUUUCUUGGCUCUUUAAUGAAGUGUAAAGUUCCACUUACAGUGUUGGGUUCUGUGUGUGAGAAACUUUAUUGGUUACUGUUCAUAAAAUGAACAAGAGGCUCUGAUCCAGUUAAAUUCCAGGGUUUUGAUAAAUCAGGGGUUAAGUAUAGCAGUAGAUCACUGACUCUGUUUUGGAUUCAAUUACUUCACUGGAGACUGCAUAUAACUAUGAGGAAUAGUUUCAAGGCCGGCUCUAAUGUCAUAGCUAAUAAGGCUUGAGCCUUAGGCCCCCAAAUUUGGGAGGCCCCAUAUUUUUGAAAUAGUAGGUUUAUUAUAUGUAUUUAAAAAAAUUAGUACUUUGGUACAAAAGUAAACAUUUUCAUAUAAAAGGAAAUAAUUGUUUUUAGAUAUAUGUACAUAAAAUAAACCGUUUGACUUACUUAAAAAUAGGUAGUAUGAAUAGUCUUCUAACGUGUGAAUUGAAAUUGAUUUGAGAAGAAAAUAGCACAAGUAAAAGAUAAUACUUUAAUCUAUGUACUCACUAGAAAAAAAGACUUGAUUCUUUCUAAUGCGUUAGUAUAAUGUUAACAGUUGCUUCAAUGGAAAGAAGUUUUUCAAUAUUAAAAUUGAUAAAAUCUUAGCUAAAUCAACAAUGUUUGAAGAAAGAUUAAGUGAGUUGGCUAUAUUAUCAAUUGAAAAUAUUAUCGAUUUUUCAUCUCAAAACGCUAGAAGAAUAGAAUUCAAAUAAAAUAUUAUAUUAAUUUUUUACAAAAAAUAAAAUAAAAAUUAGGCCUCACAAAACUUUAGCUUUAGGCCAUAGAUGUGCUUGAGGCGCCCCUGAAUAUUUUAUAGAACACAUUUCAUUUUACCUGUAGCAUUUUGCUCUUUUGGUUGAUAGAAUCAUAUGAUUUGUCUGACAUAAAGUUAAUGAAAGCAUAUAGUUCACUUCUUAAUAAUCAACCUCGGAAAAUGUUGUUUUUGAUGUUAAAGAAUUCUGCAAUUAGUGAAAUUUCUAGAGACAUGAAGCUAAGAAAUUCCGUUAAAUCAAUAUUUCUUAAUCCUUCUUCGCUCAACAGGAAAACAAGCGUGUGAUUUGAGAGAAACCUCUUUCUAGUCAGUAAUAGCUAUUUAGGCUGAGUCAAUAUUAGAAUCAACCCAAUCAAGGGAGAGAAUUUUUUCAAGCUAUGCUAAAAGCUAAAUUGCCAUUUUUCUCGUAAUAAGCUAAAUUGCCAUUUUGCCAUCGCUAGAAAAACUUACUGAAUGUCUGUGAUUGAAGUGUCAGCUUUCGCUCAUUUCCUUUCUCUUUGUUGGGCAGUCGGAACCUGAAUUCAGGCCACCAAUGUCCGAAAUUGUGCAGAAUCUCCUGCAUAUGAUCUAAAGAUAUCAUAGAGGCAGCAAUGCAGUAAAACUGCUCUAGUAGUGAAAACUAGCUAUGCUGUUUCCGGCUAGUAUCUUUUAAGCAUAGAGGGAUUUCAAGUAGUUCCAAAGGAGGUAUCAUUACACUACAUUUUCUUUGCCAAAUAUUGUGUGCUAACAUCAGUAAUGUAAUGUAAAUAACACUAUGCUGUUAAGUUGCUUGAUGGGCACAUUCUUUUUGACAUCUCGAUGAGAAGGAAGAGAAAGACGGUCAUUCUUUUACCCCCCCCCCCCCCNNNNNNNNNNNNNNNNNNNNNNNNNNNNNNNNNNNNNNNNNNNNNNNNNNNNNNNNNNNNNNNNNNNNNNNNNNNNNNNNNNNNNNNNNNNNNNNNNNNNNNNNNNNNNNNNNNNNNNNNNNNNNNNNNNNNNNNNNNNNNNNNNNNNNNNNNNNNNNNNNNNNNNNNNNNNNNNNNNNNNNNNNNNNNNNNNNNNNNNNNNNNNNNUUUUCCCCCCCCCCCCCCCUAGUGUAAUCGAUAAUUUCUGUUUAUAGUUCAUAUAUGGUGAUAUGUAAUAUAUUUCCUGCAAAUUCUUUCCUUAAUAUCUUGUAAUCACUUGUAUUAUUUACUGUGUAGAGAUUAUGUCUGUUAUAGUAUUAAUAGAUUCCAUCUUUUGUUUAAUUUUCUGUGAAGGUGGUAACAAGUUAAAAAGUUGUGGUGAAAGAAUUCCUUGGUGCAAGGCAGUGUUUUCAAUUUUCCUGGUAACUUGGUUAACCUGUUGGAAUGGUUAAAUUAUAAUGAAUUAUAAAAAGUUUGUAAAAUUAGUGAUGAAAACAGAGGUCAUAACUAAAAUCUCAAACAUUUUAGACAAGGUCAUUCUGUGGUCGUUUAAUGUAAUUUUGGAUCUCUUGCUAGUACGACCUAUUAAACAAUUCGUUAUGUAAAUAGCGUUAAAUUGAACAUCCAAGAACCCACCCACAUGAGUUGUGGUAGAGUGGUAAGUACUCCUUCAUCCUUAACUAGAGGUCUCGGGUUCGAGACUUGGGUAUGGAGUCGUUUUUGUUAGGGAGUGAUUUACCCUCAAUAUUGGACUUUCUGGCGCAAAUUUGAAUUUAGUCGCAUCCCAAUGUAAGUACCGGAUAAAAUGAUACACCAAUAACAAAUAAUAAGAAUAACCUAGUAAAAUCCCACAAGGGAGAUUUGGGGAGGGUGACGUAGACCUUAUGCAGAUCUUAUCUCUAUUCCGAUGGGGAUAGAGAGGUUGUAUCUGAUAGACACUCGGUUCAAAAGACGAAAAUAGAUAAUACAUUAAUACCAUCAAUAAAAAUCAUCGAAAUAAUAACAUCACAAGAACCCGUAAAUAAAAAAAAAGUAGAAAUAAUAACCCACAAAAUGGUAAAAUACCAUUUUUAUAUGCCUCUUUAAUAUAGACUAUCCUAUAUUCUAAUUAUAAUAAGGUAUAAGCAACUAAUGUUACCAAAUUUUCUUAGCUUAAUAUUGAACUAUUCAUCAGUUUCAUGUCACACCCUAACCUAGGUGAGGCGUGGCUGGCAUUCGCUGUCGUACUGUCCGAGCAAAUCACUUUAUAACUCUUGAAUGUUGGACGUAACCCAGAAUAUACAUAGGCCAACAUGACCGAACUCUUUCAUACUAUAAGCUAUCAGGGCUAAUAUGGCUGCAACUCGUAAUAUAUCGUCGGUGGUCAAGCAAUGUAUCAGCUAGCCAUCAUACUCAAAAUAUCAAUACAUAUUCAGGUCGAGGAGGCCCCUAUGAGUACCAAUACAGGACAACCCAAAAACAAAGCAUAAAUGAGGGCCGAAAAGGCCACUAACUUACUAUACAUACUGAACAUAUGUCUACAAAGCCUCCAACAGUAUCUGACAUCAAAAUAUCGUCGGGACAGGACCCCGGCCUACCCGUAAGUCUAUAACAAAAUCUGAUAUCAUGACCUCUAGACUCGGCUAUACUCCGAAAGAGAUGGAGUCUUACCGAUUCCCCUAUGAAUGUCAAUCAUGUCUACUUAGAGAGUUCGUUAAACUGAUUACUUGCACAUGCAGGCAUGAAGUGCAGCGCCCCAGCAAUGGGACAUUAGUACAAUGAGAUGUACAAAGUAUGUAAGGCAGAAAGCAAUACAUAUAAAAAAAAAACUGAAAAUCGAAAAACAUGAAUGAAUACAAAAAAUAGUCUAUUGAAUGAUAAGAAAAAGAGUGAGAUUACCACAUACUCUAGAUCGACUUACUAGAUCGCUGUUUACUUGGACCACUUGGUCCUUCAGUCUGCAACUCAACCUAUCAUAAGAUUCUGAACUUUUCUAUCAACUAUUGCUCAGUGAUCUCUUGUUGCAUCGUCGUUGUUACUCAUUAUCAGAACACAGUGGCUCUUACACGUAGGAAGGUAGACCGCCAGUAAGGCACAUAAAAACAUUACUAUCUGGUGGCACGUACGCGUAGAAGCAAACCAUCCAUACGAAUCAAAAUAUUCGGGUCAGACUAUGCAUAUAUAUGGGACCAUCCAUAGCCAACUUUUAUCUUACCUAUGCGUUUUUAUAGACACCAUCAGUUAACCUUCAUUACCCCCCUAUGAGUUUAUAGACCAUCCAUAAGGAACAUACUUAUGCAUAAAUAACAUUACAAAACAUGCAACAGUCAACAUUGUACAAGCUAGUUACCCGUGUCUAUAACGUAUUACUUCUUCUAGUACUUUCGGUAACUCUUAGUUCGUAUUCGACAACACGCUAUCCCUAAACAUUAGCUUUAAGGAAGCUCAUAACUAUUCCCGGAUUUACACCUCCAUCGUGACAUACUACUAAAAGGCUUUCGAUAUUUGUAUAAUCUUACCUUUACAAAUUCAUUUAGUACAUCAUAGAGCUCGUAUUUAAUACUGUUUCAAGAGACUUAUAGCAUUCGUUUACUCAAUCUCCACUUCCUUUAACUUAUGCAAGUUAAUUACUAUUUUCGCAUGCACACGAUUAUUCUAGUUAGGUAGUACAUUGCGUUUCAUAACUUAUGUGACCUUACGUACUUAUACGUACAUUCUAUUCUUCAUUAGUUAGCUUGUUCAUUCAUAGCCUUUAAAUUUAUGGGGAGGUUCUUAUUAAGCAAAUAUCACAUCUCUUAAUUUACAUCUCUCUCUUUCUAGCAUUAGGGAUCUUCCGUAUCUACCUUCACUAAGUAAUGAAAAUUGCUUCGGCCAUUUUAUAAGUUCAUAGAUUCUAUAUUCACUUUUGAACUAUUAGAGGCUCAUAACCCGUCAACAUAGAACAUACACUAGGACUCGUCCCCUUAAACCUCUUAUAAUGGUGACGUCACUACAGAAUCAUGAUAGAAGAAGAAAUGGAAGGCCUUACAUACCUUUAAGUCGAUCCUUCGAUGAAGAUGGUGGGAAAGUCUCCUCUUCAAUGUACUCUACACCAAUGAAAAUAACACUACUAUCAAUAAUAGUAACACAUCAACUAGCUACCACGCGACAAACUUGUUCUACGGAAAAUCGGAUAACAUCUCCUACACUUCUUUCACCUCCCUCAAGAUCACAGCAUCAAUAAUAAUAGGCCACCCUUAAUUCAUAUAUCCAGCACCUUAACAACACGAGAUCUGCCCAAAAAUACAAUAUAACAACAUUAAUAAAGCCAACGUUAAACUUAGGAAUAGCUAGCUUAUGAUACGUCGAGCGACAAGCUCGGUCAUUAACUAGCAACAAAGCACUCUUCUACACUUCUUAUUCUCUUCAAGUUACAUAUUAACAAUGCUCCCGCGUGCGCGCGCGCGCGCACACACACACACACACACACACACAUAUAUAUAUAUAUAUGUAUGUAUGUAUGUAUUCUCCCAAAACUCCAGCUACAACAACAUCAUAAAAACACCUCAAAAUAGUCCAACAUGGUAACUUCUAGCUCCAAAAAACUUAGCUAGAGCUUAGAUAUGAUCAAACUCAUGUAGGAGAGAUCUUACCAUUAAACGACAAGAAAAAUUUCAAGAACUACUCUCCUUAAAAUUGAAAUAGCUCACAACGCAUCAACAACAUCAUAUAAGUGAUCUCCACCGCUUAUACAACACUUUUUAUGAAGAACAUAGGUGGUUUUGCCUUAGAUUUGUAUAUAAAACUUUUGGAUAUGCUUAACGAGAGUUUAGAUAUGCUUGGAGGUCUAAUUUGGUCGAAAAUGAGACUUAGAGACAAAAGCUAUCACUUUAUAUAACAAGAUAAGCUUCCGCCGACUUUGUGGGUCCCAAGGGGGCUGCUUGCGCAGUCUCGCAAAAAUGCAAAUAUCUCUCUAUUCUGACAUCGUAUAGACGAACGGUGUAAAGAGUUGAAAACUAGACUCGUAGAUCUUUAAUUUGAUAUGUGUAUCACCCUGUAACUCGAAGUAUAUUAAGAGAAAAGCUAAGUGAUAUUAGACCCAAAUUUAGCUCAUAUUAUAAAUGUAACUUGUGACAACUUUUGCCGUAUUUUAUUUUACAACUUGUUUGACUUAAAAAAUAAAUAUACGAAUAUUAUAUGAUUCAAUUAUUUUAAAACAUGACCUCCUUAUAGUUAAAUUUGAUGUUUACAAUGCGGUCCAAUAUGCGGACCGUAUUCCCACCGCAUACCCAAGCAGAGAGGCCAGGAAUUUGGGACCCUUCUGCAGUCAAAUCUGCGGACCGCAUAUCAACUCUCCGAUCGCAGAGUGCAAUCGUAGAUCAUGCACGGCUUCAAUUUUCUAAACUUUUAAACCAGACUCCUUUCUAAUAAAACACCCCAACACCUCAUUUGCAUAUUUUCUGAACAAUUUAAGAGAGAAGGAAGAGAGAGUUCUUGAGGGAGAAAGGGUUCAUCAUCAAAUUGAUUAUCCAAAACUAUCCGAGCCGGGAAAUUCUAAUUUAAUAUCUUCAUCCCCACUCUUACAUAUAAAAUCCCUAACCCUUUUCCCCAAUUUUCAGAUUUAAAACUAGGUAGGGAGUCUCAUGCUUUGAUUUUUGAAAUAAUGGGUGGAAGCUCACAUGCAUGUCUUUCAAAACCUAAAAUAUUGUAAGGGGAAAUUGGGUAGAAGUACAGAGCUGUGCUUGAUAACCUAAACAAGCCGGGUAGUAAUUGUGAACUUCAAUUCUAAGGUACAUGUGUUAAUUUUUUAAUUAGAUUGGCGUGGCUAGAUUCCUUGGUGACUAAGAAUAGGAGUUUAAAAAGGGAAUUCGACUCCAGGUAUGUAUGGCUAACCUUGUCACCUUGUUGGUGUGAAUUGCUUGGUAUUUGAUAUCUUUGUGGGUUAUUUGUGAGCUUCUUGUGACUUGUAUGAUUAUGAAUGCAUCUUGUGGUAAAAGUCGAGGAAUAAAUGAUUAAAGGGAUUCAUAAAUGGUGAAAUUGGAACAACUGUAGUAACAAUGUACUUGAAUUAUUGUGGGCAUUUGUUGUGGUGACUUGAAUUGCAUAUGAACUGUGAAUAUGAUGGAAUUGGUAUUGUUGGUUAUGGAAACACUUGUAACGUUAUUGUGGUUAUGUACUGAGAAGCAUUGUUGCUAAUCUUCGUGAAUUCAUUGUUGUGGUUGUGUUCUUUAUGAAUUGAAGCUGUACGGCGGGGUUAGGUUGCGCGCCGCAACACGAAGUUAUAAGGUGUAGGUUGUUGUGAUAAGGGUGGCCGGGGUGAUAAGGGUGGCCGAGGUAACAAGGGUGGAAAAGUGAUCGAAAUCCCUGUUGAAAUAAAUACUUGAGAAAACUUACGAAAUCAUUGCCGUGGAAUUGUGAAAAGGGGAAACCAGGAGAGUGUGCAACCUUGUUUGGCUUGAUUGUACUUUUUAUGUGUGCUUGGUUGUUGCUUUUAUUGCUAUUUUCUACUUAUGUACGACUUGAGUUUACUUGGGACAAUUUUUGUUCAUACAUACCAGUACAAUUCAAAUGUGUUGACAUCCCUUUUGGCGGGGGUGCUACAUUCGUGUUAUGAUUGUAGGUGAAUCUAUAGCAGGUACUCCGAUCCACCGCCCGUGGCUCUUCCUCAUUCCCUGUCAGCUGUACUGGUGAUCCCCUUUCCUUCCGAGGCUCUGCGUGGCUCAUGCCACUUCUAUUCUUAUAUUUUGAGAUCUUAUUUUGGUGUGUGAAAAAGGUACAGCCGGAGCCUUGUUGCCGGAAAGUAUUAUACUAUCAUCUUUCAUCCUUAGAGGCUCCGUAGACAGGAAAUGUGGGUUAUGAACUAUAUAGUAUGUACUUUGUAUUUUGGGCAAUGUAAAUUGUAAACCUUGCUAAUAUCAUCUAUGUUAUUUAUGCCUUGUAAAAGGUGUUUCAAUUAUAAAUAACUGUUCCACUCGGUUAGUAAGAAAUAGAAAUGUGGGGUAACUCAUGGGGUUAGGAAAGGCACCCAGGUCCACUCGCCUGGGGAUACCCGGUCGAGUGCCGCUCAUUUCCCUCGGAUUUGGGGCGUGACAAACUUCGUAUCAGAGACUAAGGUUUUAAAAAGAGUCCUAGGAUGUCUCGGAGCCGUGCAUAGUAGAGCCCUUCUUAUCGGUGUGUUAUCGACCACAUCUAUAAGCAGAGGCUACACGGGCAUUUAGGAAACUACUCUUUUAUUUGUUAUUCCAUUUCGUGUGGUGAAGUGAAAAGUGGAAAUAUUUGUGUCUAACCCGUGCCUUGUCCCGAAAUUUUCAGAAACGGCACCUAAGAAGAAAGCUAGACUCGGCUUUGAGGCCAACUUCACCACAAGUGUGGUCGUGAAUCAAAUACCGGACGCCGUGGGUGAGAGUGACUCCCCGGCUUUGAAUCUGCCUGGCCCGUCUCUUCCAAAUCCAAGCAUUCCUAUUCCAACUGCGACAGAGGGUGUCACCGUCCCUCCUGCCGAUAUUCCUAAUCCUGAUAUUGCUCCAGCAUUCGGUCCCGAGGCUUCUGAUGGAGACCUCAGGGGAGCCAUCCGUAUGUUGACCCAGUUAGUGGCCGCCCAGGCCCAGAGAUAUCAUAAUGCCCCUAUGUCCUCCAGCGAACAGGGAGAUUUCGCCAGCUUUAGAGUCCACCAGUUUCUGCAAUUGGCCCCUCCAGAGUUCUCAGUCACAGAUCUAUAGGCCAAUCCGCAGGAUUUUCUUGAUGAGAUAUACAAGUCCCUUCGUGUGAUGAAGGCCACAAAUUCAUAGGGGAUUGAGUUAGCUUCUUACAGGUUGAGAGCAGCAGCACGCUCGUGGUUUCUUACAGGUUGAGAGCAGCAUCACGCUCGUGGUUCGAGAAGUGGGAGGAUUCCCGCGAGGAGGGAAGACCUCCGGCUAGAUGAGAGGAGUUUGUGGAUGCUUUUAUGGACCAUUUCUUGCCUAACGAGACAAUGGCAGCCCGUGCCCCGAGUUAGAGGUUCUCAAGCAGGGUAGUAUGAGUGUCUGGGAGUACCAUAUGGAGUUUGUGAGGUUGUCCAAGUAAUCUCCUCAGCUAGUGUCGGCCAUGGGUGCUUGAGUUCGGCAUUUUAUUCAGGGUCUUAGUCCGUUGGUGGUGAAUGAGUUUGCUACAGCGGCCUUACACUCAGAUAUGAAUUAUGGAAAGAUUGUAGGAUUCGCUCAGGCCACAAAGGCUAGGAAGUUGAAGAUACGGGCGGAUAGGGAGAGUAGCAACAGGGCCCGGUCAAUGGGUCACUUAGGGAGGUUAGAUCCGAGGAGAGGGAAAUCAGGGCUAUCCCAUUCAUAUGCCCAGUCCUCAGCAAGUGCACCGCCAUCUGUGCACAGCUAUCAGCAUGGUAGUUCCUUAAGCCAGGUUCUGACAGUAGGAGGUUCUACCAGUUCGGUCAUUCGGGGAUGAGGCCCCGGCAACAGAGGGAGCUACAUGUCCCAAGUGUGGGAGGUUCCAUACAGAGACUUGCUAUUUGGACAUCCCGAUGUGUUCUAAUUGCAGGGUGAGAGGUCACAUCCAGCGGGACUAUCGUCCGUCUAGGCAGGGCAUGGGUAUGGGAUUCCCCCAGUCAUCCGGUUCUUCAGUUGCUACAUCAUCAGUGUGUCCUCCAGCUCCAGCAGGGCGUGGUGCAGUUAGGGGUGGGGCUCGUGGUAGAGGUGGACCGAGCCGGUUCUAUAAUUUGAGGGGUCGCCAGAGUGUUGAGGCUUCUCUAGAUGUUGCUACAGGUAUCUUAUCUAUUCAGACUAUUGAUUGUUAUGCUCUUAUCGAUCCGGGGUCUUCUUUGUCCUAUGUCACCCCCUUCAUUGCUUCAAGUUUUGGGAUAGAACCUGAACAACUUCACGAGCCAUUCUCUGUAUCGACCCCGGUUGGUUAUUCUGUUACAGCCGCGCGAGUUUAUAGGAAUUGUGUGGUCAUGGUAUGUGGUCGUGUUACCAGGACCGACCUUUUUAAGCUUGGAAUGGUAGAUUUUAACGUAAUUAUGGGAAUGGACUGGCUUUAUUCAUGCUUUUCUAAACUUGACUGCCGAACGAGAGUCAUGAGACUCGAGUUCCCAAACAAGUCAGUUCUUUCAGAAUGAUGAGGCUUCUCCAGAUGUUAUUACAGGUAUCUUGUCUGUUCAGACCAUCGAUUGUUAUGCUCUUAUUGACCCUGGGUCUUCUUUGUCCUAUGUCACCCCCAUUCAUUGCUCCGAGCUUUGGGAUAGAACCCGAAUAGCUUCAUGAGCCAUUUUCCGUAUCGACUCCGGUUGUUGAUUCUAUUACAGUUGCACGAGUUUAUAGGAAAUGUGUCAUCACGGUGUGUGGUCGUGUUACCAUGACCGACCUUAUUAAACUUGGAAUGGUAGAUUUUGACGUAAUUAUGAGAAUGGACUGGCUUUAUUCGUGCUUUGCUAAACUUGACUGCCGGACGAGAGUCAUGAGUCUCAUGUUCCUUAGCAAAACGGUUGUUGAGUGGAAAGGGAAUGGUGUUGUGCCAAUAGGUAGGCUUAUUUCUUACCUUAAGGCUUCGAAGAUGAUUAAGAAGGGGUGCAUCUAUAAAUUGGUUCGGGUGGCGGACACCGCUUCAAAAGUACAUGCCCCAAAAUCUGUGCCAGUUGUAAAUGAGUUUCUUGAGGUAUUUCCAGAUGAGCUUCCAGGAAUUCCGCCAGAUAGGGAGAUUGAUUUUGGGAUUGAUGUAUUGCCAGGUACCCAGCCAAUAUCUAUUCCACCAUACAAAAUGGCGCCAGUAGAAUUACAAGAGUUGAAGGAGCAGCUGAAGGAUUUAAUAGAGAAGGGGUUCAUUCGAUCGAGUGUGUCGCCAUGGGGUGCUACGGUUCUUUUUGUCAAAAAGAAGGAUGGGUCGCUUCGGAUGUGCAUCGAUUAUCGGCAGCUUAAUAAAUUCACCAUCAAGAAUAAAUACCCUUUACCCCGGAUAGAUGAUUUGUUCGACCAAUUGCAAGGUGCGAAGUUCUACUCUAAAAUUGAUUUGCGGUCCGGGUAACACCAAUUGAAGACCAGAGAGCAGGAUAUUCCUAAGACCGCUUUCAAAACCCACUAUGGUCACUUCAAAUUCUUGGUCAUGUCUUUUGGGCUAACCAAUGCCCCGACAAAUUUCAUGGAUCUUAUGAAUCGGGUCUUCAAGCCAUUUCUAGACUCCUUUGUGGUUGUUUUCAUUGACGACAUCCUCGUUUAUUUGCAAAGCAGGGAGGAUCAUGCCAAUCACCUCAGGGCAGUUUUGCAGACACUCCAUCAGCACCAGUUGUAUGCUAAAUUCUCAAAAUGUGAAUUUUGGUUGGAGUCUGUCACUUUCCUGAGUCAUGUUGUUUCCAGUAAGGGAAUUCGAGUGGAACCCCAAAAGAUUGCAGUAGUGAAGGAUUGGCAUAGGCCCACAACCCCGACGGAGAUCCGUAGCUUAUUUGGGUUAGCGGGGUAUUAUCGGAGGUUUGUAAAAGGGUUCUCCACCCUUGCCUCCCCAUUGACUAAAUUGACGCAGAAAUCAGUCAAAUUCCAUUGGUCCAAUGCCUGUGAGAAAAGUUUCCAGGAAUUAAAGUCAAGAUUGACCUCGACACCGGUAUUGGCUCUUUCAAAAGGCACGGAAGGAUUUGUGGUGUAUUGCGAUGCCUACAGAGUCGGUUUAGGGUGUGUGCUCAUGCAGCAUGGGAAGGCUAUAGCAUAUGCUUCAAGGCAACUCAAGAAUCACAAGAAAAAUUGCUUGACGCAUGACUUGGAGCUUGCAGCAGUUGUGUUUGCCUUAAAAAUAUGGCGUUGUUACCUUUAUGGGGUCCAUGUGGAUGUGUUCUCGGACCAUAAGAGUCUCCAAUAUUUUUUUAAGCAUAGGAGUUAAACUUGAGGCAGUGGCGGUGGUUAGAAUUGCAUAAAGACUAUGAUAUUAAAAUUUUGUACCAUCCAGGGAAGACAAACAUGGUGGCCGACGCCCUUAGUCGGAAAUCCAUGGGUAGUUUGUCUCACUUGGGAGCAGAUAAGAGGAUCAUAGCUUGAGAGGUUUAUCAAUUGAAUAGUCUUGGGGUUUGUAUCUCGACCCCAAAUGAGGAGGAAAUUAUGGUGCACAAUGUAGUAGAGUCGUCGCUUGUAACGUAAGUCAAGGAAAAAUAGUUCAUUGAUCCAGCGUUGGCACAAAUGAAGGAGGCAAUUCGGAGUAACCAAAUUUCGGCAUUUUCACUUGGUAGCCAUGAUGGUGAGUUACGAUGUGAGUAGGCUAUGCGUCCCAGAUAUAGAUAAUAUUCGGGAGAGGGUAAUGGCGGAGGCUCACCAUUCCAGGUAUUCGGUGCACCCAGGUUCUAUGAAAAUGUAUCACGGUCUCAAGGAAAUUUAUUAGUGGAGCGGUAUGAAGAGGGGUGUGGCAGAUUGUAUCUGAAUGUUCAAAUUGUCAGCAAGUAAAGGCCGAGCAUCAGCGACCCGGUGGGUUAACCCAACUUAUGGAAAUACCAAUAUGGAAAUGGGAGAUGAUCAAUAUGGAUUUCGUGGCAGGACUACCUCGCACUCAGCGCAAAUUCGACUCAAUUUGGGUGAUAAUGGAUCGACUCACCAAAGCAGCCCACUUCUUGCCGGUCAAGUCCACCAAUACUGCAGCACAAUAUACUCCAUUGUAUAUCAAGGAAAUAGUGAGGCUUCAUGGUACUCCACUUUCUAUUAUUUCGGAUUGAGGGGCUCAAUUCACAACUAACUUUUGGAAGAAAUUUCAUCAAGGUUUGGGCACUCAGGUGAACCUCGGCAUGAAUUUUCAUUCGCAAACCGAUGGUCAAGCAGAGAGGACUAUUCAGAUGCUUAAAGAUAUGUCGCGGUCUUGUGUCUUGGAUUUCAAAGGUAAUUGGGAUGAUCAUUUGCCCCUUAUAGAAUUUGCUUACAAUAACAGCUUCCAUGCUAGCAUCCAGAUGGCCUCGUUUGAGGAUUUGUAGGGGAGGAGAUGUAGGUCCCUGAUCGGAUGGUUCGAAGCAAGUGAAGCAGAAAUGAUAGGGCCGGAUCUCGUGCAACAAUCCAUGGAAAAGGUUAAAAUCAUUUAGGAAAGGAUGAAGAAUUUGCAGAGUCACCAGAAAUCCUAUGAGGACGUGCGUCGAAGAGAAUUAAAGUUCCAAGAGGGUGAAUGGGUAUUCUUGCAGGUGUCUCCGAUGAAGGGAGUGAUGCGAUUUGGGAAGAAAGAGAAGCUAAGUCCUAGAUAUGUCGGGCCUUAUCAAAUUAUUCAAAGGAUCGGACAAGUCGCUUAUAGGUUUGCCCCCUAGAAUGUCCUUAGUGCACUCGGUGUUCCACGUGUCCAUGUUAAGGAAAGUGGUUAGGGAUCCGUCCACCAUCGUUCCAGUUGAAGACAUCAAGGUUACUGAAGAAUUAUCGUAUGAAGAGAUUCCGGUUGCUAUUCUUGAUAGACAAGUCCGUAAAUUGCGAAAUAAGGAGAUCGCUUCGGUUAAAGUGUUGUGGCGAAAUCAACAAGUCUAAGAGGCCAUGUGGGAAGCAGAAGAUGAGAUGAAAGUAAAAUAACCCUAUUUGUUUGAACAAGUCUAGGAGUGGUCGUGUAAGUUCUUGUCCCUAAGCGAACUAGCAUUGUGUCCCAUUUGGUGCAAAAGUUCCCUAAAUGCUUUACUAUUGUAGUUCUCCAAGUUAUGCCAAAAAAUUUGUGUGUCGUGAUUGUUUGGGCCCUAUGCAACUCUUAUCGGUAAAUGAAGUUUUUGUGCUUUUGUGGUAGGUAAUUGGCCCAUGGUAGAGUAAGUGUAAAAUAGUAACGAUUAAUUUUGCAUGGAUAGAAUGUAUUGAAAUGAUUAACUGUGUCGCACUCCUUAAGGUAAUCAACUAUGUGUAAAAGGGUGUCAAGCAAUUGAAUGUGCGUAGGUGUAAAGGUAAUGAAUUGGACUAUAGGAACUCUUCAUGCUAAGUGAAAGUAUCGUACUCUUGUGAUAAGAAAAUGGCUUAUGAUAGUGCACACGAUUAAUGCUUAAUUUAAUUUCGUAUAAUGUACCAAAAUGGUUAAGAGUGUGUCGUACUCCUUGAGGUAACUGACUAUAUGCGAAAGUGUGUUGAUAAAUUGAGUAUGUACAAGUGUGAAGGUAAUGAAUUGUAUACCAGUUAUAGGGGUAGCAAGAUUUGUGCAAUGGUGCUUGGAAAUGUGUUUUAGGGACUCCCUGACAGGUAGAUAAUGUCCAAAUUACAAAGGAAACUCUGGAGAAAUUUUUCUAAAAUAUGAGAGUUAGUGAAAACUUAGAAGCUUGCAUAUCAUGUUUCCAAACUAUUUAAUUUUCAAAGUUCUCAUUUGAGGACGAAUGAUCUUAAGCAGGAGAGGAUGUAAGACCCCGUGAAAAUGAGUGCUCAAAUCCUAGCAACUCAUAGAGUCAGGUCCACCUAUAUGUUGGGACCCUUUCUACUGAAUUUAUACUUAAAAAUCUAGAGCCAAAGUUUUCCGGAAAAAUAUCAUUUCUGCGGUCAAGAAUGCGGUCGGAGAUUAGGUAUACAUACCGCAUCUCUGAAGCAGAGUUAAUCAGAGAGUUAGCUAAAUUUUAUGUUUACAAUGCGAUCUAUUAUGCGAUCGCAUAACCAAUAUGCGGACCGCAUAGUAGUCGCAUAAAUUUCUUGAGGAUUUGAGGAGGUCAGUUUUGCGGUGCAAUAUGCGAUCGCAGAACAGGAAUUCAGACCGCAUUCCCACCGCAUAUCCAAGCAGAGAGGCCAGCAAUUUGGGACCCUUCUGCGGUCCAAUCAGCAAACCGCAUAUCAACUUUGCAAUCGCAGAGUGCGACCGCUGAUCAUGCACAUGCUUCAAUUUUCUAAACUUUUAAACCUAACCCAUUUCUAAUAAAACACCCCAACCCCUCGUUUUUGCAUAUUUUCUGAACAAAACAAGAGAGAAGGAAGAGAGAUUUCUUGAGGGAGAAAGGGUUCAUCAUCAAAUUGAUUCUCCAAAAUUAUCCGGGCCAGAAAAUUCUAAUUUACUAUUUUCAUCCCCACUCUUACAGGUAAAAUCCCUAACCCUUUUCCCAAAUUUUCAGAUUUAAACUAAGGAGGGAGUCUCAUGCUUUAAUUUUUGAAAUAAUGGAUGGAAACUCAUAUGCAUAUCUUUCAAAAUCUAAAAUCUAGUAAGGGAAAUUGGGUAGAAGUACAGAACUAUGCUUGAUAACCUAAAUAAGCCGGGUAGUAAUUGUGAACUUCAAUUCUAAGGUACAUGAUUAAUUUGUGAAUUAGAUUGAUGUGGCUAUAUUGCUUCGUGACUAAGAAUGGGAUUUUAAAAAGGGAAUUCGACUCCAGGUAUGUAUGGCUAACCUUGAUCCUUGUGAAAUCGCCUUGUUGGUGUGAAUUGAUUGGUAGUUGAUAUUUUUGUGGGUUAUUUUUGAGCUUCUUGUGACUUGUGUGAUUGUGAAUGCAUCUUGUGGAAAAAGUCGAGGAAUAAAUGAUUAAAUGAUUCAUAAAUGGUGAAAUCGAAACAACCGUGGUAACAAUAUACUAGAAUUAUUGUGGGCAUUUGUUGUGGUGUCUUGAAUUGCAUAUGAACUGUUGAAUAUGAUGGAAUUGGUAUUGUUGGUUAUGGAAACACUUGUAACAUUGUUGUGGUUAUGUAUUGAGAAGCAUUGUUGUUAAUCUUCGUGAAUUAAUUGUUGUGGUUGUGUUGUUUGUGAAUUGAAACUGUACGGCAAGGUCGGGUUGCGCUCCGCAACACGAAGUUAUAAUGUGUGGAUUGUGGUGAUAAGGGUGGCCGAGGUAAUAAAUGUGGUCGAGGUAAUAAGGGUGGAAAAGUGAUCGAAAUCAGUGUUGAAAUAAAUAAUUGAGUAAACUUGUGAAAUCAUUUUGUGGAAUUGUGGAAAUGGAAAAUAGGAGAGUGUGCACCCUUUUUUGGCUUGAUUGUACCUUUUAUGUGUGCUUGGUUGCUGCUUUUAUUGCUGUUUUCUACUUGUAUACGGCUUGAGUUUACUUGGGACAAGUUUUGUUCAUAGAUACCAGUACAAUUCAAAUGUGCCGACGUCCCUUUUGCCGGGGGCGCUACAUUCGUGUUAUGAUUGUAGGUGAAUCUAUAGCAGGUACUCCAGUCCACCGCCCGUGGCUCUUCCUCAUUCCCUGUCAGCUGUACUGGUGAGCCCCUUUCCUUCCGGGGCCCUGCGUGGCUCAUGCCGCUUUUGUUCUUGUAUUUUGAGAUCUUAUUUUGGUGUGUGAAAAAGGUAUAGCCGGAGCCUUGUUACCAGCAAGUAUUAUACUAUCAUCUUUCAUCCUUAAAGGCUCCGUAGACAGGAAAUGUGGGUCAUGAACUAUGCAGUAUGUACUUUGUAUUUUGGGCAUUGUAAAUUGUAGACCACGCUAAUAUCAUAUAUGUUAUGUAUGCCUUGUAUAAGGUGUUUCAAUUAUAAAUAAUUGUUCCACUCGGUUAGUAAGAAAUGGGAAUGUGGGGUAACUCAUGGGUUAGGAAAAGCACCUAGGUCCGCUCGACUGGGGAUACCCGGUCGAAUGUCGAUCAUGUCUUUCGGAUUUGGGGCGUGACACUUGGUUUACUCUGAAAGUACGGGUUUUAACAUAUUUAAUUUGUUUAACCUCCAACCCUCGCGUUACUUCCUUAACUCUUAUUUUAAUCCAUCAUUAUCUUUGUAAAGGUCCUUAAGCUCGUUGUCUUACGUUGAUUCACUUAAAAUGCAUUGUAUCUUGAAUGUAUGGGGUAUUACAUUUCAAAUGUCUACCUUUUGUGUCAAGGUAUUCAUUUCCUUUAAAAGGAUUUCAAUGUAUAAUACUAAUAAAUUUAGAAGGAGUUGUGUUUUCUCUCUUUCAAUACUUUUUAUAAUCUAUAAGGUCUGUGGUGUGAUGAUUGAGAACCAUUCACAUUUAAUAAUAGGUCUCGGGUUUAAACUUUGGGACGACAAACUUCUUAGUUGGCAACACCUUUCUUUCCUCAAAAUCAAGCGCUUAGACCUCUUAUAAGAUGGAAAAGGAGCAUAUUUUUUCUCAUUUUAAGUGUGUAAAUUAAAAUAAAUAAAAGAGUAAUAAAAAAGGCAGAUUCAAAUAAAGAAUGUGAAUCGAAUCCUAUUAGCAUUGUGCAGAACGGAGAAAUACUUUCAAUUAAAGAUUGGAAGAUUUGUGCUCAUUUUCUGCCAAAGAAUUUUACAAGAUUCAAAUUUUAAAGAACAUUAAUUCUCAUUUACAAUAGACUCUUUUAGACAUGUGACAAAAAAUAUCUCUUUUGAACUUCACAAAAUUUAUUAUAUUGAAUAAUUUUCUUUUGGCCUUUCUUUUUACAAGAGCUGCUUCUUGAAGAUUUUAACUUUAAAACUCACGUUGUUACACAUUCCUUCUGUUUAAAAAAAAAAUAAAAAUGUGUAGGCUUCUCAUAUCAUAAGGGCAUAUGCUGUAAUUAUCAACACUUUCGAUAUAAAAUGGAAUAAAGAAAUAUUUUUUGAAAUUCGUUCUCGUAUCAUCAUUAAAUAAAAACAUCUAAAUCAAUAUUUUAAAUAGAGACAAAUUGAAUAAUCUUUCACAAGAGCAGUUAAUUUUAAUAUUUUAGCCAAGCUAAGAAAUUUGUUCCCUUUCACUUUUUUCUUUUCUGAAAAGGAAAAAAGAAAAAUAAGGGACGAGAGAAGAUGGGAUGUCAGCUGCAGUGCAGGACUUGUUACAGCAAGUCUCCCACGGCGUCGUUUUAUUCGUCUCCUUCUCCUUCUCCUCCGCGUCUUCUGCAUCUCACAGUCCUGCGAAUUACUGCUUCACCAAUUACCCACCCAGGUUCUCUCUCUUAAUUUCUCUCUCUACUUUUUUCUUCAUUCACUGUUUACUCUUAUGCAUAUUUCAUAAAUACAUAUAACAAUAGGUAGUUACCGAUCUCCCUUACUGUUAAAGAACUCUUUUUUUUUUUCACCCUAAUUUUUGUUGAUGAAUUUUGAACCUUGAUCCUCCAUAAUUCGCCGCUAAUGUAAGAAUAUUAUGUCUUUUUUCUGAUUAUAGCUGAAACAAUUAUCCCCGAAUAUGCAUGCCUUUUGGAUUUAAAACAAUCUCUGCCGCAGAAUUUGGAUUCUUUGACAUAUUUUUUGUUUAGUUUUACGGAGAUGGAUUUUUUCUGUUCUUUAAUUUUAAAUGGGCGAAUAGAGCAAAAUGCUUAAAGAACAUUGAUAUCACUUUGCAAGUAUUAGUUUUCUGCUAUCAAGAGGGAAGUGAAAAAGGGUAAAAAAUGUUUUUGUGUUUUAUUUUAUAGAGGGAGAGAAUCUAUGUAUUAUCUUUCCCAAUAAUUGGCUAAGCUAAUAGAAUUACUUUUUGAAUUGGCUGAAGUCAUUCCUCAACCCGGAGUAUCUCAUGAAAUUUGUCCAUCAAGAUCAAGAGCUAGGUCGAAUUUGAAAGGCGAGGAGAGAUUGAUCCCUUAAGUUUUAUUCUUAAUUAUAGAAUACGAAUUGUGAACCAGGUUGCAGUUUUUAUUUUUUUUAGUUCUUUAUUUUUCCCCAGACCCUACUUUGUGGGACUAUACUGGGUAGUUGUUUUUGUUGUUGUUGUGAUACUCUGAGGUUAGUUUGGUGUUCUUAUUUGCUUCCUAUGCGAUGAAAAAUAUUUUUGUAGAUGAUACACUAGUGUAUCCCUCAUUAUUACUGAUCUAUAUUCUGAACGUUCUCUCAUGUGAAUGGAUUUAGAAAGACACUGAACAUCAUGAGUUUUUAUGCAAAUUUAGCCAAGUGCAUAAUACAAUGGAAACAAAGGACCCAUAUAGGCAAUACCAACUCAUAGGGAUUAGGGCUUAGUUGUUGUUACACUUACUUUAGGCUGGUGUUUGUCAGGAGUGUUUACAUUGUUUAUUCAUGUAGGAUAAGUGUGAGAUUUAUAGGAAGAAACUUAGGAGAUCAAGAUUGCAUGUCAUUCUUGUUCGUCUAUAUAAAAUAUUAAGCAGCCUGAAGAUGCACCCUACAGAACCUUGUGGUGUAUAUUUAUGCAUUAUACUCGUUGCAUUGUUGUAAAUCUUUCUGUAGAUUUAACUUAACUUUAAUAAGCUUUUAGUACUUUUAAAGUUUUUGUGUUUUUCAAGUCCACGCAAUUUGAUUCCUCUUUCUGUUUUCCUGGCAACCUAUCUUGUGAAUGUUCAGGUUGUUCAUCAUAUGGUUUUGGAUGAUAAUUUAGCAUCUUCGCUUCAUAUUGCUGCACAUCUUGAUGGAUUAUACACGAUCAUCCUCUGGGCCCGGUGAAGAUAACAUCGGGAUUCCUGAUGAUUUGCGUUGUAAGAGGUCCGAUGGGAAACAAUGGAGAUGCACUGCAAUGUCUAUGCCUGAUAAGACUGUGUGCGAAAAGCACUACAUACAGGCUAAGAAGAGGGCUGCAAAUUCUGCAAUGAGAGCCAACAUGAAAAAAGGAAAGAGAAAAUCAUUGGAUGAAAAUGAUAUAUAUUCGGAGAGUAAAAGUGAUGAUAUGGAUUUACCAGAUGCGAACCAGAAAAAUGAGGAUUAUUCUGGUGCAGUCUCUGGGAAGAGGCAUAAUGAAAAGGUGUCAAAGAAUCGGAUGGGUUAUUUAUCUGAAACACCUCAAAGCAAGAUGUUUUUAGUUCGCAGCAUGAAGUCUGCUGAUGAUCUAGAUAUGGAAGGUAUGCAGUAUGAUGAAAGCCAUAGAGGUUACAGGACGCCACCCCCUUCUGGUAUGGAGUCAUCCAGAAGCAGAUCGCAGAAGAUGUUUGAUUCAAGUCCUACGACGGUGAGUUUGAACUCAUGGUUGAGUACCGCCGGGAAUGAAGUUACUUUAGGAAGUGGACAAUUGUAUUUUAGUAAAUCUGAGAUUAUUCUAGGACCAUGUGAUGCAGGGAAAGUUCAUUAAGUAAAAAAUAAUUCUACUUAAGAUUAUAAAUUGUGGUGAUCGUUAUGUAAUCUGCACAUUAAGCUUUAUGUAGACAUAUCGCCUAGGAUUCAAUUAGAGUUUCUUAGACCUGAAAUUUCAUUAUCUCUCCAAGUAUCAUAAGUCAACAGUCUGUCAUUGUUUUUUUCUGGUUGUCUGUUGUAUCCUCACUUGGGCUCCCUUAAUUUUUGCCCCUAGGGAACUUCUGAAGCGAGCUCGGAUUCUUCUGAUAAUACAGGGGGGCAACGUUGUCACCAGUGUAGGCGGAACAAUCAACAAGUAACUUGGUGCCUUAGAUGUGAUAGAAGAGGAUACUGUGAAAGCUGCAUCUCAACUUGGUGAGACUCACUAAAAAGAGCAACAUGUCUAGUUUCUCCAUUUCCUAUGCAAUGACUACAGUGAUUAAUGUCAGGUUCUCCGACAUGUCAGUUGAAGAGAUACAGAGGAUUUGUCCUGCGUGUCGUGGUAGUUGCAAUUGUAAAGUGUGUUUGCGUGGAGGCAACUUGAUAAAGGUAUUUACCUAUUAGGCUAAAAGAGCUUUACGUUAGGCAUUCUAUGGUUUGCUUAAUAUUUAUAAAGUAUUCCUUUCUGAUAUGUGUUUCAUUAUUGCUGUAAGCAUAGGUUAGAAUAAAGGAGAUACCUGCACAAAACAAACUGCAGUUUUUCUAUUCCCUUUUAUCUGCAGUUCUUCCGGUUGUUAAGCACAUUCAUAAUCUGCAGUGCUUUGAGGUAGAGCUGGAAAAAAAACUUCGAGGUAUAAGCAUGACCUUUUGCAUCUUUAUUGAGGUAUAGAGGGAUUCCAAAUUUGAUAAUGGUUGAACUAUGAACUGAAUUAUAUUCUCCAGGAAAUGGAAUGGAUCUCGGCCGGACCAAAUUGAAUGCAGAUGAGCAAAUGUGCUGGUAAUAUUUUCACUCUUUUGCCCAUUCCUGCUAUUAGGAAAUGGGCACUCUCAACCUCUGUGCUUGACAAAAUAUAUAUCACCAAGAUGUGUCUGCUUGCAGUAAUUUCUGCAGGAUACCAAUUAUUGAUUACCAUAGACACUGCCCAAAUUGCUCAUAUGACCUCUGCCUCAGCUGCUGCAAAGAUAUCAGAGAUGCGACCAAGGUUAUUCAGGAAGAGAGGGGUAAGCAGUUCCCAGGAAGAGUUGAUGGCAGAGAAGCCACAUCAAAGGAAGAGAAAUUGUCAAACGUUCAUCUAAAUUUAUUCACCAAGCUUUCUGAUUGGAAAGCAGAUAGUAAUGGCUACAUACCAUGUCCACCGAAGCAAUAUGGAGGCUGCAAUUCCUCUGUCUUAUCAUUAAAGCGAAUCUUUAAGAUGAAUUGGGUGGCUAAACUGGUGAAAAAUGUAGAAGAAAUGGUUAGCGGCUGUGAAGUAUGUGAUUCUGGUGAUCUGGAUAAUACCUCUGAAGGGAAGUUGUUCCAGGCUGCUCAUAGAGAGAAUGGUGAUGAUAACUUUUUGUACAAUCCAUCUUCUGAAGAUAUUAGAAGUGAAGGGAUUGAGAAAUUCAGAAAGCAAUGGAGCAGAGGUAAACCUGUUAUCAUCAAGGAUGUUUAUGAUGUAUCAUCAAUGUCAAACUGGGAUCCAGUCGUAAUAUGGAGAGGAGUAAGGGAGACAACUGAGGAGAAAACAAAAGAUGAUAACAGAACUGUGAAGGCCAUUGAUUGCUUUGAUUGGAGUGAGGUUGGUACCAGUUGUCUCUAGCUUGCAUUACUAGCUAGAUCUAGUUUCAACUUGCUUUAGAUUGGCAAUGAGGUUCAUCUCCACUAUCAUAUGUAUGAAAAAAUUGUGUCCACUUUCAGCAGAAGUGGCCUGUUGAUUUCCUUUUAUCUUCGGCUGACCAUACCACCAUCUCUUGUACUUAUUGUUUUACAGAUUGAUAUUCAGCUUGGUCAGUUCAUCCGAGGAUACUCAGAGGGAAGAAUUCAUGAGAAUGAUCUCUUGUACUUAUUGUUUUACAGAUUGAUAUUCAGCUUGGUCAGUUCAUCAGAGGAUACUCAGAGGGAAGAAUUCAUGAGAAUGGUUGGCCAGAAAUGAUCAAAUUGAAAGAUUGGCCUUCUCCUAGUGCUUCAGAAGAGUUUUUAUUAUACCAGAGACCUGAGUUUAUUAGUAAACUUCCUUUACUUGAAUUCAUCCACUCCAAGUGGGGUCUUCUAAAUGUAGCUGCAAAAUUACCUCAUUAUUCCCUGCAGAAUGAUGUUGGUCCUAAGAUUUUUAUUUCUUAUGGGAUGUAUGAAGAACUUGGUAGAGGUGACUCAGUGAACAAUCUGCACAUCAACAUGCGUGACCUAGUGAGUACCAUAAUAUUCUUCUCAUGCCAUCCCUACUUCGAUAAGAUUGUUUCUUGUGGUUGUUUGAAGUCGAUGCCAUGUGACAUGCAAAAUAACUUGAUUUCCACUAUGAGGAUGACGUGUACUCGUACUUGGCAAUGCAUCUCUGAAUUAAAUCUUCAAGACCAUUUAUUUUUCUCUGCAGUAAAAAUUUUGAAGCUUGAGCUGUCAAGAAGAGUCUAAGGUUUCUAGUUAACAAAAACAAAUUUGAUUGUUUAGUCUGUUUGAUAUGACAUUGAUUUGAUAAUGGAAAAUUCCUGAUCCUGGCCUUAAUUUUUAAGUCAUCAGGAACAGAUAUUAAUUUGCACUUCUCCUUUACAUGGUCUUAUAAUACAAAUCCUGAUUUCAGCUGAUAAAUGAUUUGGGUUUGCUGUUUCUUCUCUGUAAUUAGGUAUUCCUUUUGGUCCAUGUCAGUGAGGCCAAACUAAAAGGUUGGCAGAAGACAAAGAUAGGAAAGAUACAGAAAGCCUUUGCUGAAUCUGAUCACAGAGAAUUUCCUUGUGCUGCACUAAAUGUCUCGAGCGAAGGAGAUUUCUCCAAAUUCUCACCUGGUGGAAAUAAAGGGCAUGACCAUUAUGCGGAUACAGAUUCAAAUGCCAAUAAAAUGUUGGUCGACCAAGAGAGCAGAGCUUCUCCGAUUGAUGUAGAUAACUUUAGUCAUGAAGAUCUGAAUGGUUUCAAUUUAAUUGGCUCAGAGACGAGUCACUCUGGGGCUCUUUGGGAUGUCUUCCGCAGGCAGGAUGUGCCGGUGCUGAUCGAGUAUCUAAGAUAUCAUUGGAAGAAACAUGGAGAUUCAGACCGUGUAACAGAUGAUUCUGUACGUUUCUUCUCAAAUGCAAUAAUUUGUCCAAGUAUUUCUCUCUUUAGAAUCUAGAUAUUGAGGUAAUCGUAUCUGCUUCCUACAUUGUUGGUCUCAGGUGUCCAGUCCUCUCCACGAUGGAAUAGUAUAUUUGAAUGAGCAUCAUAAGAGAAAGUUGAAAGAGAUAUUUGGUAAGAGUAAUAAUUUGUUAUUAAAGUUGACAAUGUGAGAUUAAGAUUUGUAAUGCAAUAUGUCAGCCCAAGAAGAUGUUUUCAAGCAUCUUCAUCAUGUGCUGGCAAUUUUGGGCUUACAGUAUCUUCCCCUUGAUAUGCUUGCCUUGGAAUUGGAUUUUUGCUAUCUUGAUGAAACUUUCCUUGAGUUCUUAUUUUUGGGAACUGAUGUGUUCUGCUUUUAGUUCUCAAUUUCGAGAUAUUUAGUCAGACCCUAAAAAUGGACUCUGAUAUGCAAAUAUUCUUCGAAACAUCCAAAUGCCUAUCACUGAUCUUAGCAUUUUCCUUCUCUGUCCUCUAUUGUUUUUCUGUUGCUUGCUUCUAUUUAAACUGUCACAAACUGAUCUCGAUUGAAACUCUGAUUACUCUCAGGAAUAGAGCCUUGGUCAUUUGAACAGCAGUUAGGUGAAGCAAUUUUCAUUCCUGCUGGAUGUCCUUUCCAAGUGAGGAAUCUUCAGGUUAGGGGGCACAAUGAAUUUUAUGAGUGGCUCGUAAACAAUUUAGGUUCUUAAUCCUCCUAGUGUACUCAUAAAAGAAACAUGUUUAUAUAUGUUAAAUGAGGGGCACGACGAAUUUUAUGAGUGGCUCGUAAACAAUUCAGAUUCUUAAUUCUCCUAGUUGUACUCAUAAAAGAAACAUGUUUAUUUAUGUUAAAUGAGGAACUUAGACCUUUUAAAAACACUCUCUACUAGAGCCAUUGAAGAAACUGCAUAAGUACCUUCGUUAGUGUGUGACAUAGAAAGUUCUGCUGAUUGACCUACCUAAUUGCAUCUGAUUCCUCUCCCCAUUUUAUUGCAGUCCACUGUUCAAUUGGGCCUUGAUUUUCUUUCUCCAGAAAGUUUAGGUGAGGCUGUUAGAAUGGCUGAAGAAAUCCGUGGCCUUCCUAAUACUCAUGAUGCGAAGCUGCAAAUGUUGGAGGUCUGAGUGAUGAUUCUUGUUCUUUGCCUACCUUCGCUCCCUUGGAUUGGUAUUAACUUUAUUCAAUCAUUUCAUACAGGUGGGGAAGAUAUCGCUCUAUGCAGCAAGCUCGGCCAUCAAAGAAGUUCAGAAGUUGGUUCUGGAUCCUAAGUAAGCAGUUUCAUGUGUUAUUCUUGUUUUACAGCUUUUCUCUCGAUUUCCUUAUAUAAUAGGGAUGUCUAUGAUAAUUUUAUCUAGAGGUUCUAGGUUGAGGUAGGAAAAACGAUAUUGACUUGUUUAAUAAAUCCUACUGCUGAUCUAUGUGCCAAUCAUUAUUGAUCUCGUCUGCUUAUACUAUUUAGAGGCUUCUAAAGGCCUCUUUGGUUGAGUUCAACUGGAACGGUCAGAAAAACUCCAUCCAUUAGUCCUUUACUCAGUUGUUUGCUUUGCCUCUUCUGUUUUACUCGGAAAAAAGUUAUAAAACCUAAACGGAAGGGGAAAAGACAAGGAUUGUUAUACUCUCUUUCCCAUGAAUCAGUUUUACUAUAGCAUUUCCUUUUGUAAUUUUGUGGUGCAGAGUUGGUCCUGAGCUUGGAUUUGAGGAUCCCAAUUUGACUGCAUUGGUAUCAGAGAACCUGGAAAAGAUGAUUAAGAGACGUCAGGUAGCUUGCGUUUAAAGUGUUGCACAGAGGUUUCUAUCUCUAAAUUCUUAUGUACAGAAAAGACAGCAAAACCCUUUAGGGGAUGUGCAUUGGAGUACUUGCUUUUGUUCUGCUAAAUGCUAGCUUGCUCUCCGGGGAUGUACAUUAUAGUGUUCACAUUUGUUCUGCUAUAUUCUAGGUUGCUCUCGAGUUGUAGCUAUUUUUAUUGUCUUAUGAAGUCAAAAGCUCUGUAUUUCAGUCUUGUAGUAAAAGUUAUCACUAGGUCUAUUGUAACUGUAAUGUCAUAUGAAUGAGCAUUGAUAGUAUAUAACAACAUCAAUUCAAAUGCCAUUUUUUUGAUAGUUAGUAUAUGUUCAAAGUAGAAUUCCAUGCACCCUUGAUGAGGUUUUUUUUAUUUUCUUUUGUUAUCUGUCUUUUUCCUUCACGGGGGAGCAAAAAUAUAUAAGAAGUCAGCUAUGUUGCUUCUUGAACAUUGACAGGGACGUAACUAGUAUAGUUUGGAAGGAUUGGACAGGCGUAGCCUUGAUGGUGAAAAGAAAACCACAGAAAAAUAAAAAGAUGUCCAGAGAAACUCAGUCUUCUUUUUCUGUAUAUUUGGAUGAAAAACAUGUCCAACUGAGAAACAUUAUCUUUAGGAAAAGCAAGUGUGUUGUUUGGAACAUCUGAAGUUUAAGGAGGGAAAUUUCUUUAAUAGUGUCAACAAAUACACACUUCGUUUUCCUAUCUUUAGUAUCACAAAGACCAAACGCAAUCAAUUCCUUGAGUAACUGCGAAUGGUUUGGAUUUUUAUAUCAAGAUGUUGACUUCUGUGUUUUUCUACCUCUCAUUUCUUUGGUGUGUGUCAUGUCCUUCAACUAAAAGAAUACCAAGUUGGACUAUCUGAUGAAUUCAAGCGUCUGGUUAACAUGAGUAUACUACAACAACAAUAACUACCACCUAGUAUAAUCCAACAAGUGAGGUCUAGGAUGGUAGGAUGUGCGCGGCCGUACCCCUACCCUGGGAGGGCAGAUAGAAUAUUUCCAAUAGACCCUCGGCAUGUGAGAGAAACCCUGAUAGCAAGUAAUGGCAAGACAAAUAGAAAAUUAAAUCGAAAGCAACAUAGAAUAUGAAAGGGGUAUCGAUAACAAGUAAUAGCAGUAUAACAUAUUUAGAAAACUAAUUCCAAAGCAGCAAACGAGACUAUGAACGAAGUAUUGCUAGCAAACUACGGAACUACAUGGGUCUGAAAAUAACAUUCUCUCCAAAACACAAAAGCAAAAUUUAUCAAGUGAAUAUGAGUAUUUACAAUAUACAUAUCAAGAUUGUCUUACAUUUCUUUCUAAUCCAAGAAAAGAUAGUAAGCAAACUCCCGAGUCUUGUCCAAUCCAAUGAAAUACUCCUCCCAUUACAUUAUACCCUUAAUAUUAAUGUAGUAGUAGUUCUUUUUAAUAAUGCUCAAUUCUCAAAAAUUAUUUAAUUGGAGUAACUUAGUAAACUAUAUUAUAUUUAUUAUUUUUUCUUCAUGGACGUCAAAAGACUUAAAAACGACUCUUAAAACAAGAGGGAGAGAGUAUUUUUUUUUUUUUUAAAAAAAAAGAAAACCCCGAACAGAAUUGGGGGGAGAGUUCACUGAUCAAAAAGUAACACCAGCUAUAAUUUUGUGACCUAUUUACAUACACAUUGCUUCCAUUUUCUAUGUUAUUAACUAAACAAAGAUGGGUGGAGGUGGGGAUUAAAAAAUGAAAAAGAGUCAUGUGGUCCAAUAUGGUACGAGAGUGGCAUGUCGGUUGGCUUUUUUCGACGGUCGACUGUUAAUUUGAUCUCUCGGUCUCUUCGGAAUUUAUUCAAUCAUCUUAAUAGUAUUAUUUUACUAUCUAGCUUUGUAAUUUAAUGUUGGACGUUUCCUUAAUAAAAAAACAACAAAACAAAAAAGUUUUGGAUGGCGGUCGAUGAAAAAGGACAAGAACACAUUUUUUGUGUUGCACAUCAAGUACUCUUUGGAAUUAAUUCAUUAAUAAGUACUCAAUUUAACUGUAUUAUUAUAAAAGAAAAAAGACUUUGUUACUCUAAUGUCACAUUAUUAGUAACUAACUAAGUAUGUGUAUGACACUUGACAACUCCUCACGAUCUUGCACAAUUUGCUCACGUUCUUGCUAUGUCAAGUCAGUCUUACUACACUCAAGACCGUUAAGGAAAUACUAGAAAGAAUACAAGAGAAUUGCUAAAUGAAGUAUUGUAUUAUUAGAAAAAUUUUAAUUGUUUGUUUGAUGAGUUACAAAUGAAUGUCCCCCCUUUAUAUACUAGUCUCUUAGGGGUCCGGUGUGUAAAUAUUAAUUAUUAUACAAGUCUUUGAUAAGGGCUUUUCUAGAAUUUUCUACAAGUCUAGAAGACUCCAAGGACUUUCCUAACAAAUCCAUAAGGAUCUAGGUUCUUCAUAAGGAAAUGUCCAUACUUCUCUAGAAUAUUCUCACAAAUGCUAGCCUUCUUCUUACAUAAGCUUCCACAUGGCAUUAAUAUACGUCAAAUGGCGCCCAUGUGGCAUGAUGCCAUGGCGGGUCAUCAAACUCUCCCCCCGCCUAAUAUUGUGACGACUGCGGUGCAAUGCUGCUGCAUAAACUCUCGGAUCUUAUCUUUGAAUUGUCGUAAGUCUUCAUGUCGUUUUCAUGUGGCCUCUUCCAAUGAUUGUCGUUUUCAUAUAUUCUACCUCUCAUUUCUUUGGUGUGUGUCAUGUCCUUCAACUAAAAGAAUACCAAGUUGGACUAUCUGAUGAAUUCAAGCGUCUGGUUAACAUGAGUAUACUACAACAACAAUAACUACCACCUAGUAUAAUCCAACAAGUGAGGUCUAGGAUGGUAGGAUGUGCGCGGCCGUACCCCUACCCUGGGAGGGCAGAUAGAAUAUUUCCAAUAGACCCUCGGCAUGUGAGAGAAACCCUGAUAGCAAGUAAUGGCAAGACAAAUAGAAAAUUAAAUCGAAAGCAACAUAGAAUAUGAAAGGGGUAUCGAUAACAAGUAAUAGCAGUAUAACAUAUUUAGAAAACUAAUUCCAAAGCAGCAAACGAGACUAUGAACGAAGUAUUGCUAGCAAACUACGGAACUACAUGGGUCUGAAAAUAACAUUCUCUCCAAAACACAAAAGCAAAAUUUAUCAAGUGAAUAUGAGUAUUUACAAUAUACAUAUCAAGAUUGUCUUACAUUUCUUUCUAAUCCAAGAAAAGAUAGUAAGCAAACUCCCGAGUCUUGUCCAAUCCAAUGAAAUACUCCUCCCAUUACAUUAUACCCUAUUUUAUUAUUUUUUCGUAAUUUUUAAAGAGUUUUAAGUUCAUUUAUUUCCCUAUUUUAUCCAUAAAAACUCAAUAAUUAUUUUUAAAAUUAUCAUUUUAGUGAUUCAUUUAUUGUGCUUUUACAUUUAUGCUAAAAUAUAGCUGAGGUAAUUUUUGAAUAUUUUUAUAAAAUUAUUUAAUAUUUUUAAAGGUUAAAUUAUAUAAUAGCAAUAUUAGCUUCUUUUAGGAUUUAGUUGUAUUUAUGUUCAUGAAAAUUAAGUCCAAUAUUUUUAUAUAAGUAAUUAUAUGUCAUAAAUUAUUUUAGUACUUUUAAUUUAUUUUCAGAAAUUAAUUUGCUAUUUUUGUAAAAUAAAUAGGGGAAAAUGGCAAUUUAGAAUCUAGCUAAAUUUCAUUUCAAUUAUAGCCCAAAAUUGACCCUAAUUCGUACCCAAUAUCCCCUGGCCCAAUUCCUUUUAAAUCCAACCCCUUACCCAUUUAAAUGACCCAAACCGGACGCCCCACCUAACCCAUUUAAUCCCAGUUGUUGAUCGUUUAAGAUCAACGACUCUCAUUAUCACUUUCCUUUUUUAACCCAAACAAACCCCUUUACCCUUCCUACUUCAACACCAACCGCCGUCUCUGAAUCCCUAUUCUCUCUCAACUCUCUCUAAAACUAAACCAAAACCUAGCCACCGCCAUCAAGCUACACCUUAAUCCACCCUAAACCUACCUAAUCCAUGGCUUUCUGUUGUCAUUUGAGACAUGUACCAGCAUUCCAUAGCUUCUAUAUGUUUGGUUCUAUGGUUUCAUGACCAAAUUUCGAAGGAGUUCGGUCCAGUCCACGACCUUUUUCGGCCAUUCAAGGUCUUUCGAGGCGGGUCCUUGACAUUUUCUAGUUAGAUCAUUAACUUUCGAGAUCUUUCAAGUUUCUUUUGGGUUUUCUAAAAUCCUAAUCUCUAAAAUCUUUCGGUUUCUUUCAGAUCUACCUUAGAUCUGUGCUUACCAUGAACUUCUAAGCAUUUUUCAAGGUUCUUUAACUUUGCUUUCAAAACGACUCUUUAUCUUUUCCGAUUAGGGUUUUUCUUUUAAGUUGUUUCCAAAAUCUCUUCUUUGAUUUUAAUGUGUUUAUGAUCUUUCUAUGUUUUGCUCAUGUUGUUCUUCUGUCCGAGUUAGCGUGUUUAAAACCCUAAUUUCUUUUGGGUCUCAAUCGAGUUUUGAAGAUGUGUACAUGUUUGUUUAAGUUCUUGCUUGAUUCAUCUGUUUACCAUCUUUUGAACUCGUUUGUCGUUGAAAACCCUAGGUCUGUGGGUCUAAAAUUGUUGCCUGAACACUUGACUUGAUUUAAAGUUCUUGUUUCGGACUCUCUUUUCUUUAUGUGACUUAUCUAAUUUUUACUAUCUUUCAACUCGACUAUGGUUGAAACCCUAACUUUUUAAAAGGUUUCCUCACAUGUUACUGUGAAACCUUUGAAUGUUUCUGAUACUCUGUUUUCUUCACUAUUGAUUCAAUAUGAAUUGGCCUACUUGAUUAUUAUGCUUCGAAUGUUUGCUUUGCUACUGAACCCUAACUUACACUACUAUAAAUAAGACCUUUAGCGGCAAUAAAAAUGGCUUUAGCGGCAAUAAUAAUACUCGCUAUAUCUUUUAUCAGCCAUUAAACUUUUGCCGCUGAAAUUGGGGUCGGCAAAGCCUUUAGCGGCUAUUCUCGCAAAAGCUGGUAAAGGGUACAUUUUAUUGCUGCUAAAAGUUAUUAUCUUUAAUGACAAUUAUUUGCGGCAAUUAUAAUAUCUACUAAAUUCAAUCCAAAAUGGCUACUUAUACUUCUUUUGGGUCCAUUAUUAUAGCCGCUAUAUUCAAA